rnacentral:lncRNA from 1 species
UAUAUCGUUCAUACAUACUGUACCAUUAUUUGUAUUUUUGUUUCUCUUUUUUUUAAGUUACUCUGCUGGCCAGUAUUUCUACAAAACGUAUGUACAUUUUCUGAUUUUUAGCGCUGUUCACCUUUCUAUUUUAUCAAAGCAAGUUAAUAUCUGAUUGAAAAUGAAACCAUUUUUUCAUGCAGACUGUGUGAGUCAAAGCCAGGGGAGGUGUAGCUAGGGCUGCAUGGACAGAAACAAAAGUGAUUUAACUCCUAAAUUGCAGAGAAUUGAUCAAUGAGACAUGAGGCAUGAUCUAUACACUAAAACUAUUUCAUUAAGUUAAAGCACGGGUCCUCAAACUCCGGUCCCCCAGAUGUUACUAAACUACAACUCCCAUGAUUCUCUGGCUAUCUAUGUAAUUCAAAGCAUCAUGAGAGUUGUAGUUCAGCAAGAUCUGGAGGGCCACAGUUUGAGGACCCCUGAGUUAAUGUAAUUUUGGUGACUAUAGUGCCCUUAAACAAUACAUUGAUUGUUAUCUGUCAAAGUAUUCUGUUCUAAAAAAUAUCUAAACUACUAAAUGUUAUAGUGUCAACAUGGAAUUCAGUGAAGCCAGCUGGCAUAUUCCACUGGUGACCUAUCUCCUUUUAUAUUUUAGCACCAUGUUUUACAGAAUACUUUAAUAAAUAACCCUCACUAUAUUGUGUACUUUGCAUACCUAACACUAAAUGUAAAAAACAUAUAGUGACCAAUGAUUAUUGGUAUAUGAAUUCCUUUUACAAAAAACACACUGGGCACACCAACAACACACAUUGUCAAUCAAAUACAGUCAGACAAAUUAGAAAAACUUAAAGUACAAAUAAUGAAUCAUGAUUGCUUCUUUCCUUUCAUUUGUUAAUGGUUAUUGUACACAUUUGUUACACUGCUCUAUAAAUGUACAUAAUGCAAUUUAAACUGUUCAUAUAAUAGUCUCUGUGAAAAAUAUCAGAUAGGUUUUGAGCAAACACAACUUUUUUUACAUAUCUCUUUUCUAACCUGCAGUGUCCAAUAACACAAUAUACAGUGGGACCUCGGUUUACAAACGACUCGGUUAACAUAAUUUUCGGUUUACAAAUAAAAAUCCAUUGAAAAUAAUGCCUCGGUUUACAAUUUUUUUUCACAAUACGAAGUAAGUUUACCCGGGAUGCAUUGCACCUGGGAGGUUUAUAGCACUGCCCCCUGCAUGCUGGAGCCCCGCCACGUCGAGUGUGGAGGUGUUGGAGGUGUUGGAGCGGCUUUUGCAUCGAGUUUUGGAGCCAUUCUGGAAAUUGUUUGCUGUUGGUUUGGGACUUUUUGGUGUAUUUCUCAAACUGUGGAAAGGUAGGGAGCUGAGCUUUGUCGUUAGCAUGCUUUUUAUUGUGUCUUCUGCAUUGUGGGUUUCUUAUGGGAAACCGCGUUUCGGUUUACAAAUUUUUCGCAAUAAGAAACGUCCCCGAGAAUGCAUUAAAUUUGUAAACCGAGGUUCCACUGUACAUGUCUUCAUGUUAGCUGACAGUUUUCAUAAGUAAAAAGCCCCUGAAAACUGAACUGAUGCUGUGCACAGAGAACUUUGAAAUCAGUCCCCCACCUCUAUACUUUAAUUCUUACAGUGCUGUGUUAAACUAGUCAUUGGUCAAGCUAUUUCCUGGACUAGACAAGGCUCACGUCUGAUUAUUUUGUGUGCUGGAUUUUGCACAAAAAGAAGGAACGUUAAACAUAAGUAAUCUAUCAUAUAAAAUGUUUUGGUUUGAAGUAUUUUUAUGUUUUAGCUAUAAAAUGCUUAAAAAAGGAAUGUGCCAGUUUUAGCCCAGAUUGUGCCUUCAAUUCAGGUCCCUGUUAAUCUACUAGAUAGCACCAUACAAAAUGUUAUCAUGCAUCUAUACAAAAACGUCUCACUCAGUUCUCCCUCCAACUAUGUUUUCAACUAUUUUCUUAAUGUCAGCAUGCACUACAGGGCAUGAUUGACAGGCAGACCAAUAUGCGGUCAACAUUAGAUACACAAUAUUUUAAUCAUGGUUAACAGCUCUCUUAUAUAAUGCAAAGACCCACCUUUCUCCUAUUGCUUCUUCGUGGCACUACAACAAUACGACUUGGCUUUUCAAACAUCAUUCUGAGGUUGUCUAGAGGGAUUGUGAAGCGUUCAAUUUUGCGGGAUGCCUGUAGAUCCUCUUUGACCACUGUCUCCCCAGCAUAACUAUGUGGUUGUGAAAUGGAUGACUGGGACUUCAUACUGUUCUUGGGUGACUGUGUCUAGAUUUUAUUUGCCAAUACAAUUAAAUAUAUUUAAGUUCAAUUUGCUGUAUGCUUGAUUUUCAGAACUGCUUCAACUAUCAUUGGAUGAUGUGUGAAUCAUCAAUUUUAUUUUUUAGUCAUGUCUGUAUUUUUUCACUAGUCCGUUCCUUGUUACUAACUCUUUAGAGUUGUGAAAUUAUGCCUUCAGUAGCUCCUGCUUUCCUUUGUUUAUUUAUUUUCAGCCACUUUCCAUUCACUUUCAGGUCCAAAUGACAAAAUGCCAAUGGCAGUAGGUUCUACUUUGGCAACAUCAAGUGAGGCCCUGGCAAAAGAUCUUCCCCGGAGCAGGUCGCUUCUGCUACAAGCAGUCUAAGCUUCAGAAAUGAUUCAUAACUUUGGAGAAAGUUGCUACUUGAUGUGACUAUUUGGAUCACAAAACAUCAAUGAACCUUAGACUUGUUCCCACAUUUAUAGAUUCCUACAGAAAAACAUUAUAAAAUAACUUUUUUGAAGGUCAGAUGGAAAAAAACAAGUAUACACAUGAAAUACUCACACUUUUAUGAUUUACAGCUUUUUGAAAGCUUAAAAGUAAGUUUUUAUUCUAAAGGUCAAAUGGGUUGAGAAUGCUGACGUUCAAAAUGAAUUUACUCUGAAAGUUUCUGGCAUACAACAUUCAAGAUUAAAUGUGUAGACUGUUAAUGACAUCAGGACAGCUUCUCCAGAGGACUGUGAUAUGCUUAAAAGGAAAAUGUAUGUCUCUCUCACAAUCUUUUGAUCUCUAAAUCUCAUAUAAAAAAUACAUUUAUGUAUCUAAAAGGUUUUAAAUAAAAAAAAGUAAAACAUAAUGAACUACUUCUCCAUGUUUAAUCUAAUUGUUUGUAGGAAAGUAUAGAGUAAUAAUUUUUUUUUUUAAAUAAACAAAUAUAAUUUUUCGAUCAAUGCAAGUUGUUAGAUCCAACAAGAUCCAAAGGUUCUAAUUUUCUUUGCAAGGAAUUAGAAUGUAAAAAUAAUAAAACAAAUGCAAUAUGAUCUCUAACCCAAAUUUUACAUAAGUUAUUUAGCACCACUAAAAUGUGUACGUUCAACUGCCAAAGUCAAGGCAAGGUGAGUCCUACACUAACAAAAGAAAAUAGCCAAACAAAAAUAAAUCACUAUCCUACAAUGAUAUGACCGGAUGAAAGAGUGGAACUAUGGUUGAAGCUUAGAAACAUUUAUUUAUAUCUUCAUCAUCCAGUUGGCUUUCCCCUGUAGUGUGACUGGCUGCAUGUAAAUAUAGCCCAUUACUGUACUCAGGACCAGCAGAUGUUUAUAAAUGAUCUCGCAAACUGUAAGAAUGACCAUUUUAGGACUCCUCUAGCCACUGAAAUAGAGAAUUAUUUUUGUUUAUUUUUUGUAGGUUUUUUUUGCUUUCUUGUUUUUUUUUACGUCGUAAUUUUCUUUUUUGUUGCAUCAAUGAAUUUUUUUUUUAAUAAGGUCCCUUUUCAUGUCCCAAACAUUAGGAAUCAGAGCACUGGUGACAAUGCAACACAUGUUAAGUAUGUAUAUAUUUGAAUUCCACCCUCCUUUACCAUAAAUUUACAAAGGAACGUGAUAAAGAUGGUAGAAAUAAGUGUAUAUUGGUUUGUUUGUUUUUCUUUUGGAGUGGGUAGCAGAGGUAUUAUUACUUUAGUUAAAUGCUUACUCUAAUUUGUUUUUUUAAAUGUCCCUUUUCUAUUUAUAAUCUGCUUUUUGCUAAUCAUUAUGUCCCCCUUAAAUUAUGUAACAAAACCUACUAUAGAAAGUUUUUUACUUCCCUGACGCACUGCCUUCCACACCUCCAGCUGACAUCACCAAGGAACUCAGGCAGUCCAAUAAAAGUUAGAAAAGUCUGAUUAGACCAUUUCACUGGCUCAGAGCCAACGAGGGAAAGCAGAGUGGAACAUCAUUUCAAUUUAAAAAAAACUAGCAAUAUUAAUGGUAUAUGUUGGUGGGAAGGUCUGAACUCAAUAUGCAAAUGAAGGGGGAAGACAAGAGAGACAAAUGCUUGCCCUUGCCCACUCUGCCUGCAAGGGAGAAGCUUAAUAUAUCUGUAUAAAUGCGUGUCUAAAAGAAAAAGUGGUCAUAGUGAUUGGAGCAACCCUUCAAAAAGUGGUGCACCCUAAGGGGUGCUGCAAUGUUUUACAAUGGCCUUUGAGAACCUACACUGUAUUUUUUUUCUGGGGGAUUUUGGAUAUUUUGUUUAUUCUCACUCCAGAUAUUAAAGAAUUAUUAAGAAUCCAUGUUUGUAUUUUUUUUUCAUUUACAUUGCAUGUACUCUAAUAAUUUACUUAAUCUCUCGUAGCCUCUACUUAAAAAAACUAAGUUUUUGGUAUGGAGUUUAAGUAUGAUGUUCACACAAGCAUCCUAGCUAGAUUGCUUAAUGGGUUUGUAUUUCACUGAUCUUAAUUUUUUUUUAAUAUAUAUUAUUGUUUUACCCAGUCAUUAGAUGUUCUCCAUCUUAUUUAUUCUUUGCCGUAGACCUCAAAUAAAUUUAACUGCUGCAGUUGAACAGAAAUUAUCCCGCUGUGGUCUGUUUCAGUUGAUACUUACAACUUGAAUAACAAAUAAUAUAUGUUUCUGCUAUUUUAUAAUUCAAAUUAACAUAGUUUAGUAAAUGUGCAAUCAAAAUGCUGAAAUGACUAAAUCCAAUAAAAAUCUAUUAUUCUUUUUUCUCGCUCUGACUUUGUAUUCAUAUAUUUUUCCAUUCAAAUAAUUAUGCUUAUGGGCAACAUCUGCACGAAACAUAAACAGUAUAUAUGUUUAUAUAUAUGUUGUAUAUGACAUGCAACAUGAUUACCUAAAAUAAUUAUUUUAAUAACAGGAUUAAAUACAAGUGGUAGAAAACAAUGCAUAAAAUAACUGUCAUAUCAAAAUGAGCAAUGCCCAUGAUGUAUUUAUGCACAGCAAAAAUAAAGAAUUAAAAAAAUAAUAAUAAUAACUGCCAUAUUACAUAAUACAAAUAUUUAAUUUGUUCUAGGGAUGUUUUUUGUUUUUUUUUAUAUUAUAUGGUUUGCUCCACUGCACUGUUUUAAAGAAAAUAAAUAGGAUACUGUAUUUUUUAUAAUUAAAACAAUCCACCUUUUUGUCAGUUUUACUGUUUUGUUGUACUCAUUUAUUGUUUUAAUAAUAUAAGUGUAAAGUAAAAUGCUUUUUUUAUUUUGAACAUACGAGUUAUGUUAUAGCACCUGGAAAGUGGUAAAUGAGAUUAUAAUAAAAAAAAUUCAGAUAAUGGUAAUUUUAUUCUACAAUAUUUUAAAGUUCUUAAUUAAGCAUAAGAAUAAUUAAAAAAAAAAACAUUAGGAAAUCUAAUUGCACAAUACUUGAGUCUACUCAGCAUUUAUAAAUGUGUUAAUUACUUUGGGGGGUAUUAAGACAUAAUUUCAUUUUACUAAUAAUUAGAGAUAGUGACAAAAAGUAAAUAAAUAAUUUAAAUAUAGAUAGAUAUAAGCUUUUAUAAAAUAUAAGAUAGCCUGGUUUCUCAUUUAAGUAGUUCUAAAAUAAUGUUCAUUAAAUCCAAGUGCAUAAAUGCUUCAACAUUUUAUACAAGUCGAAACGUCAAAGAUAACAAAUUAAAGAGUUUCGCAAAGCUCGAGUCAGUACAGUAUCAUAUAAAUAAUUCAUAAUUAUUACACAAAACAACAGUAGUUUCGUGCCCGUACUUAUUUCAAAUACAAUAUUUAUCACUGUGUGAAUAACUAUAUUAAGAGUAAAGUUGAGGUUAAUAAAAAUAAAGAAAUGAAAGAGACAACUCCAUAAAAAAGGACAGAGAGACGUACCUCCUGAAUCUGCUUCUGAAACAUCACUUUCAGCAAAAGCCUCACGUAACACUAAACAUGACCAAAGGUCUUUCACUUCCGGUUGGUCCGCCUUCCUUGGUCUUGCCAAUGAAUACACUGCAUGACGGACAUGUAUUUGAUAUGAGGUGAAAGACAUAGAAUCUCCUAUAUCUACCUAAUGGAAAUAUAUUAUUUAGUGAGUCAUGGCGGGGUAGUGAACUAAACUUUCUGCUAUAUGUUACCUCUAACUGAGUCAACUGAUCAACUUACAUCACCGAGCUCAGUGUGGAAAUCUAGUGAAUGCAUCUUGGGUUUCAAGGCUUAUGUAGAUGGAAUGAAGCCCAUUCUUACUAAUAUGAUAGAAUUAUAUGCUUGAAAGGGUUUUUGCUUUGUGUGAAUUUCACAAACAACACGUUGCAGCUUCAGUAUCACAAGACAAUGCCACCGACAUGUUUUUUAUAAAGAUCCUGUCACAGCUGUUUUCCUUGAUUCAAUUGAUACCUUACAAGCUUUACAUUCACAUUAACAGCCUUCCAAGUGGGAUACAUUAUUAAUGAUUUGAAUCAUAAAAUUUAAAUUAAUUACUCUUGCUCUGGCUGGUAGAGUGAAACACGCCUCCAUUUUAUAAUUCGUUCUUAUAGUUUGUUACCCUUUAAUAAAAAUGCAGUGACACUUCAUAAGAAUUAUUUACAUUACUGAAUAAUAUCAAUUAUUUGUCAAAAUAGGCAAGUGCUAUGGUAAGUAUGGUUACCAUGAUGAAUUGGGAAACAUAUCCCUACAAUGAUGAGCCAUCGUGUUAUAAAUGGACUGGAUUUUAUUUUCUUACCCCAUUAUAAAUCAUUGCUUUGAAUUCGUUUGAAGAGCAAUGAAAAUAAAACAAAAAUUGUUCAACUAACCCCCACCCAACCUCGUCUCUAGCAGUGGACAUCAUCUAUCUAAAAAAAUUAUUUCCCAGACAAGCUCUGAACAGCCUGCCUGCCUUGAGCAAAGGGACAGUAAAUGAUGUCACCCCUCCUUCCCCAGCCUCACUAUAUGAGAAACUGUACUGAUCAAUGUGCACCGGACGUCUAAACAGCAUAUGUAGGGGAUGCCAGAUAGAGGGAGAGCUGUGGGCGCACCAUAGCACAGAUGUUUUUAGGUAACUGCAGCUGUUUAUGCUUUUUGAAACAGUAAUACCUGGUUCUAGUUAGAUGCAUUUAUUACAUUUAUGGACAUCACAUCAUAUAUAUUUAGAUCAUGCUGGUUGCUGGUUCUCAAGGAACCCACUGUGGGGGAGGAGGGAGUGGAGGCUGAAGGCCCAAAAUUUGGGCUCAUUAGUUUUGAAUCUGUACAGUUGUGGUAAAGGGAUAUUAGUGCUUUUUUAAAAUUUGUGUUUUUUAAUUAUGCAAUUUUUAAAGGGCAAUUUAAGCACUAUAACCACUUCAAUUAAUUUAAAAGAGAAUGGUGCUUUGAGUCCAUAAAAGCUGUUUCCCCCUUUUCCGUCAAAUCAUCUUCUUACCAUUUCACAGGCACGCAGGUUCCCUCAUUCUUGCUUUAUGUCUGAAAAAUGUGUCCUCUUUUUUUUCAUUGUACAAAUGGGCAGGUUUCAAUAGAAAUUGGCACUUUUAAGAACUGACUUUGUUACACCCCUUGGCUGUCAAUCCUGGUUUUGUUAGCCAUGUGGAGCUAAACUCAAGAGGAAGGCAACUGACCAGAGCACCUGUGUUGCAAAGAACUCUCACUGAGCUGCACUGGGAAAUCUGUGAUUGGACAGCUACAGAAAGUCAGGGCUGGGGAAGAAGGGAAGGGCUUGCAAAAUGUAGCAGAAAGAGAUCUGCAGCUUUUGAAAACUGUAUUUAGAUAUAACAAAAUUAAAAAAAAGUAUACAUGAAUGCAUGCAUGGUUUCAUUGGGGGCAUAUCUAUUAAACAGUGAUUUAAAAAAAAUUGUAUUUGGGCUGUGUAGAGUCCCUUUUAAUAUGUAGAGUGAUCUGGUUACUAGUGCUAUAUUAGAAAUUAUUACAUAAAUAACUAUUCCUCCACAAAAACUGUAUUUACUAUCUCUUAGAGGACGUGCAUGUCUCUGAUAUGUCCAAGCAUUUUAUUAAAUCCCACUGUGCUACAUUGCAAGUUCUUUAUUUACAUUUCACCACCCAUAAUCCCUUGUUGCGUGUACCAACUCAUGCUUGUUAUGAUUUUGUUAUUUAAGAAGCAUUUUGGGAUGUAAGACAUGUAAAUGUGCUCAUUUGUGAGUUUUAUGUUUAAUGCAUUUGAAUCGUUAUCCAUUUGUACCCACACUAAUCUGUCUUGUAAAAAAAAACUGCAUAUAAAUUGGUUGCAUAACAAACUGCUUCAAAAAUAGAAUAAAAUCAAAGAUAAUGCUAUUUCAGUUUCAUAAGUUAAAUGAAAACAUGAAAUUAAAUUGUCCAAUGCUUCUUCGACUGUCACUCAUUUAGUUUGAACUGCAUUAACCAUUAUCUAAUAAUACAUGAAUCUUAAAAAGUAAAGAACAUGUUUUCUUGUUUUAAUGAGCAGAUUAAAUCACAGGUAACCAGCCUGUGGAACUACAGAUAUAGAGCCCAAAGUAAUGUUUUAUCUUAUAUGUGACUAAUCCAUAUUUUAAAAAAGAGGUUAUUCACCACCAAUGUUAUUCAAUAAACCAGGAAUUAACAGAAAAUUUUAUGAUAAAUGCAGAUUUUAGGUCACGUGUUCACGAUUAUAGCAUUCAGGGCUGUGUUAUUACCUUGUAUCAAUAACAGUCCUGCAAAUAUCACUUUUAUUUAGACUCAACUCAUACCUGCUUCACUGUCCUGGUGUUCUUAAAGGGACACUAUAAUCACCAGAACAACUACAGCUUAAUGUCUAAAGGCAGUGUUUACAUUACUGCCUAGUAACACCUCUACUGCAAGUAACUCAGACGGCCACUAGUGGUGUUUUCAGUGUUAGUGUUGCACAGUGUGCAGCAUUGGCGUUUAGCAUCACCAUGAAACCGCUGAACAGAGAUGCAUCGAUUCAACGCAUUUCUAUGAGGAGAUGCUGAUUGGUGCAGUGCAUUGUUUUGUCACGCAUGCACAAUAGCCUCCCUUUCCUAUGAGAAAGCAUUGGAUUGGCUGAGAUUGUCAAAAUUGAUGAUCUCAGCCACAGAGGUCGGGUGAGGCAGGGCCAGCCUCUGUGAGUCUGGCACUGCGCUGGAAAAAAAAAAGGUGAGUAAAUUCACUUUUUUAGGGUAAAGAGAGGGGGCUGGGGACCUAAAUAUUUUUUUUUACCAUUAUAGUGUCAGGAAUACAUGUUUAUUUUCCUGACACUAUAUUGUUCAUUUAAAGCUGUUGUCAUCUCAACACAUACACACAGGCAGUUACACUGUACAUAAUCAUACACUGGUACAUACAGACACUAAUACAGCCACAUUGAAAUACACAUACAGAGGUACUCACACAUGCAUUAUACAAAUACACUGUAAUUAAAUUAUCCCCCUCUAUUCUUCAUUUUGCUGCUCACAUUACUCAGUAAUAGAUAUAGGGACAGAGGCUCAGUUUUCUGUUCCUACUGAUGAAACAUCAGCCUAGGAGUGGACCCUUUAAGAUAUUAAAGGUGUUAUGACAAUAGUGUUACUUUUUAGUGAUUAAAGGAACACUGUAAGCACUAUAAGUACUACAGUGUCUUCAGUCCUACCCCCAAAAUAUUAUAUUUUAAUAGUUUGAAUGUACAAUACUUCUCUAUGGCAGAAUCACAGGUGCAUCGUGGCAAACACUGAGCAUGCACCUAUGUUCCCUGAUGCUCCUCUAUGAGGCUCUCCACUGGAAUGACCUCACGCAAGACGUGAAGACCGCAACAGAGCCGAUGGAGACUUAGCGCAGUGAGUGAAAUUAUUUAUUUUUACUUUUAAAGCCGUACUGUCUCCACUUCCACCCUUCUCUGCAAAAUGAGUAUUUCAUAAAGAUAAAAUCUAUAUGAAAUACUAAUACUGCCUGUGUUGAAAUUUCACUUUUCCCUCCACCUGACAUUUCUAGAGACUGGACGGAGCUACCGCUGUGUAGAAAUGACACAAUUGUCACCGGUGGUGACUGCAGAGAUACUGUAUAAGGUGUAACUUUGGAGCGUACCAAUACAGAUACGUAUUCCUAGCAUUAUAGUGUCCCUUUCGGCACACAAACACUUCAACAUCUUGUCAUGUUGGAAAGAAAACCGAAACGAAGUUAGAGUUUAAUUACUAAAUUUUAAAUUGUAGCAAAUUGUAACGUGGGAGAUAAAAAUCCAUGCCAAAAUUGCUCGUCUGGAAAAAAAUCUCCAACUCAACUAUAGUUGCAGCUUGGCUAGUUUGUAAUUUGUUUUUUAAUUCAAAAUGGAUACCCUCAGCCAAUCUAAUGCUUUCCAAUAGAAAAGCACCGGAAACUAGUGAGAGUGACAGCCAUUAGAGGCAUUUAAACCCUGCAAUGUAAACAUGAGAGGGUCAUGGCACAUUGAGCUGAUGUGGUCUGAGUGCCUAUACUGUCCCUUUAAGUAUUAAUUUGCAAGUUGAUAGGCAACUCAUUUUGAAAUUCAAUCAGCCUUUUAAAGUAUUGAACACAGUAGAUAGUCGUAUUUGCUAGUAGAUAGAUUGCAAAUAAACAUCUCCUGCAUUGGCUAAGUUGUUUUUGAUGAGACAAAUGGCACAUCCUUGCUUCUAGAUUAAGAGAUUUUAAUUGUUGACUGCAUUAUGUAGAGUAAUGUGUGUUAGUCAAACACCACAAUAGUGUGGUCAGCAUCAAAGUAUCAGAGAACACCUUUUAGCCUUUUGUAAUAAAUUCACUCGUACCUGACGGAUAGCACAGGGCGCAUGUUCGAUCCAAUUAUAAUCGAGUCUGCCAGGCCUCACAUUACAUCCUGUACAUUAAUAGACAUUUUCGGUUAUUAUUUUGAAUACAAAUCAGAUUGAGCUAUUGACCUAUAGUCAUUGUUGCCUUUCAUCGUCAAGAAAUUGGAGAUUGUACAGAUUUGUUAAAAUAGCCGAUGUCAGAGAAAUGACAAGGGUUAACCUUGAAAGUACAUUAAAACAGUGUAGUUAUUAUGGGUUUGCAAAAAAAUAAAAAACAGGAACUUGGAAAUAUUUUCAUCUAUUUAAAAGCAUGGCAAGUAAUGCAUGGACUACAAGGAGAAUUAACUUUAAAAUCUAGGUAUUAUCUUUAAAAUCUAAAUAUAACCUUUUGUUGCCUGCAUUUUUAGGAGGUGGAUUUGGGGGCCAACGCAGAUGAAAUUGGACUCUUUAGCCCCAGAUCAUAACGAUAUACUCAACACACAGUAGUUAAAUCCAAUAGAGACAAAGAAGAGAACUUAAACCAGUCCUUAGAAAAACUAAUAGUGAAAUGAAAGGUAAAUAGGAACGUCAGAACAAGCCAAGAUCAAAGGAAACCAGAAAAUCACAGUAAUGAAAGCCAAAGCUGGGUCAAGGGAGCCUGAAUAGAAUGGGACAAAGCUGGAUCAAUACCAAAAAGACAAUAAACAGACAAAGUAACGCUCUAUAGGGACACUAGGAACCUAGGUACCACAACAGGGCACUGUGUAUUGGGCUGUAUGAGUUUUCAUACGUUUAGGGGCAUGUGUGGUGUAAACACGCCCCCAAAACAUGACAGUACAUUGGCCUCUAGUGUGUACAACCCCUCUGACGUCAUGACGCUGGCUCACAUUCACUGUGUCAUAAAAAAAGACCUGCGCACAGCGGUCAAAGUCCAGGAGGUUGUCAGGCCAGACAGGAGCCUCAGAAGCGGCGGGCCACUGGGUAAGAGCAACAGCUCAUUGGCGGACCGCCAAGGUAAGUACAGGGGAUCUCACACAGAUAAUUUUAGAUGGCAGGAAGCUAGUAUUUUUAUCUUUAUACUAUAGCAGCUGUUAAUCAAAGUAACCAUCCCAUGUAAAAGGAAAUAUAUUUGCAAUAGGUGACAGUCGGCAGAGGGGUGAUGGGAGGUGAUCAUGCUGCAUAUCCAUUUCUUUAACACUUCCAGGUCAACAGAAAUGUGCUGAAGCUCUACUGUGGUACUGUGUUCUACUCCAAAGUUUAAAUUUAGAAUGCAUCAGUGCAGUGGCGUACUAAGGGAGGGUGGGGGGGCGUACCGCCCCAGGUGCCAUCAGGUAGGGGGGUGCCACCAGGGCUGGCCAGGCUUGGAGUUCAGUGAGCUGUGUGGCUGCACAGGUUGCCAUAGCAACAGGGGCACCGGGUAGCCGACACAGCUCACACACGCAGGGGCUGUGAGCAGGAGACCUGCACAUAGUUGGGGGCGGAGCCAGAUCUGCCAUGGGGCGGAGCUAAGUCAGAUGUGGGGGCAGAGCUAAAGGCAGCCUCUUACUUGCUUCCCCAACUCUGACACAACAGGGACUGAAUACACUCCUCCUCCAGCCCAAGCUGACUGUAAGUGAUAGAGAGUGUGUGCUGUGUGUAACUGUGAUUGUGACUGUCUUUGACUGUGUGUGUGUGUGUGUGUGUUUGUGUGUGUGUGUGUGUGUGUGUGUGUGACUGUCUGCCUGUGAUUGUGUGUGUGACUGUAUGUGUGAUUGUCUGCGUGUGUGACUGUAUGUGUGACUGUUUGCAUGUCUGACUGUCUGCCUGUGACUGCGUGUGUGACUGUCUACCUGUGAGUAUGUGUGUGACUGUGUGUGAGUGACUAUGUGUGUGGGACUGUGUGCAUCUGACUGUGUCUGAUGGUCUUCGCCCUGCAGUGAGCCGGCAGCUGGGAUAUGAUGUAAUUGCGGCCUUAGUGUCAUUACAGGGCACGCGAGGGACCUGUGCAGGAAGAGCACAGAGAUCCCAGCAGCAACCACUGACCACCAGGGACUGAUGAUCCACUCCAGCCCUUCUAGAGCAAGGUAGGGAGGAUGGGUGGACCUUAAUUAUUAAAUGUGUGUAUGUAUGUAAUGUUUGUGUGUGUAUGUGAUUGUUUGUGGGUCUGUGAUUAUUUUUGUGUAUAUGAUUGUGCGUGUAUGUGUACAUAUAUAUAUAUAUUUAUUUAUUAUGCACACACACACACACACACACACACAUACACACAACCACAGAUAUAUACACACAUAGACAUACAUCUGUUGUGUUAUUGUGUGUAUAUAAAUGUGUAUGUGUUUAGUAGAUAGCUCCCUUAUUUGGUGUCCUUAAAUAUUGCAAUAACACAUAAGGAUAACACAUAAGGGAUUUAUCGUCUAAACAACUGAAAUUAAGAAAAGGGCUUUUUCAUUUUGAUCUUUUAGCUGUUUAGUAGAUAAUUCCCUAAAUUGGUGCCCUUGUGUGAGAUUUCCAUAUUUAAAGAUACCAAAUGAUGGUGCUGUUUAGCAGAUAGCUCCUUAUUUGGUGUCUUUAAAUUUGGCAAUCCCAUUUAAGGAUAGCAAAUAGGGGAGCUAUCCGCUAAACUAAGAUGAAAGUUAAGAGGUCUCAGCCACCCCACAACAAGAAAUCUGGGAUGAUAAUGUGAAUUCUAUGCAAAUGUGUUGUCAGAUGCCAGCAUGCAGAGCACAGCAUGUUGGCAUCAGACAGUCAAUGGUAGCACAUUACCCCAUCGUCUAGUGAAAAGUUUUAGUGCUCACCCUCCUCCCCCGUUUUGACUGUGGUAUCUUAUGUGGCCCCCCUAUAUAUUGUUCCAAGAGUCUCCACGAUGUCUGCAUGUGUGUCAAUUGGUGUCUGUGUGUGACUGUGUUUCUGUGUAUCUUCAUGUGUGUUUAUAUAUCUGCAUGUGUCAGUAUGUGUGUAUAUGUGCAUACAUCUCAAAAUCUCACCAACACUACACACAAAUACACUCAUGCAUUUCAACAUCAACACUACAUACAAACCCCCACCAUUAUACAUAACCAUACCACUGCAUUCAAAAACCACACUACACUCAAAUGCAUGCUUGCAUUCAAACGCCAACACUACAUACAAACACACCCGUACAUUCACUCACACUAACUCCAUACAAAAACAUGCUUACAUUCAAACACACAAACACUGCUCAGUGCUAAAUACAUUUAAAAAAUUUUGGUUAUUUUUUACAUUUAGAGAUGAAGGUAGGGCAAAAAAUAGGACACACCCCAGGUGCCAAAUGCUCUAGGUACGCCCCUGCAUCAGUGGCACUCCAAGAGUGCAUAGAGACAGGAAGUUAUGAUACGUGAAUAGACAUACACAGGGUGCUGCCAACAGGUUCAAUGUAGACGUUGGCAAAAAAAUCUUGUUCCUCAUGUUAUGGAGAUGCAAGGGGGUUUACAGAAUAUCAGCAGAUCAGAGGGAAGAGACACAAUGAACCUAAAGGGAGACAGAGGAAUAGAGUGAUAUUUAAUGUCUCUGCAAAUGGGCCACUUGUUUAACAUAUCAUGUGAGGUUUAAGUUGACAGAACCAAAUCUGCGACCUAUAGGAUUGGGUGUAUAUCUAUGGAUCUAUAAUCUCUCAAUUAACUGGGAUGGGGCCUAUUAUUUCCUCAAUUAAUUCACAUAUCCACUCCACUGAUUUAUCAUCAUAGCAUUAUACCAAUUAUUAUAGAAUGAAAAUACAGAUAAAUGGAGAAAUAUUUCCUCAAUACAUUUGCAGGGUCUCACUAUUCUCUUAAAGGGACACUUUGGGCACGAAUACAACUUCAAUGCAUUUGCAAGGUAUUGACCUAUGAUUUAUUUCAUGCUCAGAAAUAGUUCACAGCUCCUCUCCUGACAGCCCUGAGUGGGUUGCUUUGAAUUCACAACCUGACUGCAGACAGGCAGAGAAACUACAAACAGGUAGUGGUAGCUAUUUUAUAUGUCUCAUUGGAUGCUAUCUCCUUCUAACAUAGGCUACUUUGUAGUUCAGAUAAUUCAGUGCUGUGGCUGAGCUGUGUGCACAUAUUUGAAAAGCAAGUCUUUUUCUAGGGUGAAGGGGUGUUGUUAAGGAGGCAGGCUUAUGGUGCCGCAUACUACAAAACAUUGUUUUUUUCUGUGCAAAAGCAACAAGAUUUGAGCAUGCAACAAUAUACAAUAUACAAUAUUAAUUAUGGCUAAAACUCCUCUUUUAAAACUGGUUUCACUUCACACAGAAAAUGCAUAGUUUAGCGGUCAGACUCUUGACUGAGUCCACUAAAUUUAUUUUUAUUUUCUUUAUUUGAUUUUAUUAUUGCAGGAUAAAGGUCUCUUGAGUUUUUGUUACUGGUAGUUUUCUCAAAAUGUAAAAGUAAACACAAAUACACAGAAAAAGCAAGGCUUAUUGAGAUUGUGUUAUGAUCAGGUAGAUGCUAUCUUGGCAUUUUGAAUAAUAUUGAUGACACUUUCCAUCUUUUUGAGGUCACACAAAUAUGUUUACUCUCUUUGAUAGAUUUCAGAAAUUAUUUUGAUUUUAACACUGUGCAGAUAUGUGAUGGAAACAGAUUGAUGUUUCAUGUUAUCCUCCUCAUUUACAAUGUUUGUUGAAGAGGAUUAUGAUGCAAUUUGCUAAAUCUUUUAUAUAAUAUUUAAAAAAAAUGUAACGGGUGGAAAAACCACCAUAGAGUCUAUGUUAUUUUCAAUGUUUUAUUAAAUGAUUACAUUUCCAGAGAAAAGGCAAAUUUAAGGAAUACUAAAAUACUAAAAAUAAAUACUGUACAAGAGUCUGCAUGCUUUUACAUGAAUUGUCUUUUUGACAAUUGCUUCUUGGUUAGGCAUCUUAUGCAUGAAUGUCCUAACAGGCUCAUGGGACCAUACACCUGCAGUCUCAAUGCUCAAUUAUCUGCCAUUCAGGGGCUAAAACACUUUGUUGAAGCAUCCCACACCUCUCCUGGCUGUGACUCACACAGCCUACCCAUACAUCACAUUCACAAUGUUCAUUUUGGAACCUAUUAAAAGAGUUUGUUUAUUUUAGAAAUGUAUUAUUCCCUAGUCUCGUAAAUACAUACUAGUCUAAAGUAUACACCUGUGUUACAUUAGAUAGAUUUCGAUAAAGAAAUAUACAUUUCAAAGUAAGAAGCAAUAAUUCUUCCAAGCCUGGAGUGGCUGCAUGUGGCAAAGUUUGUUAUGACCUGAUUGUGAGUGCUGCCUACAGCUUUCUUGAAAAUCAAUACUAUCUGAGAAUAGAUGUAAUAGCAGACCAUCUGUUUCAUAGAAGGAAGUCAUGCAUAAAUGUAUUCUAUAGCUUUCUAAACUCUGCUUGCUGUCAGGGCAACCAGCCAUUUUUUCACCCUGCAGACCUUUGAUUUGUCUUUUUACUUCUUGGAAGUAAAAUCUUGCUUACGGCAUAACUCUCGAUCUAUCCAGAUCUAUAUGGCUGAGAAACCACCUGACUGAGGCAGUCGAAGAAACACAGUUUUUUUGUAAUAUACUACAUACACUGUAUAUGAUAAAAAAUCUUUUCAGAAGCACACCUACCAAUAGGCGAAAUAGCUUUUUGGUAUUUAUAGUGGAAUACUUUAAAGGACCACUAUAGUGCCAGGAAAACAUACUCGUUUUCCUGGCACUAUAGUGCCCUGAGGGUGCCCCCACCCUCAGGGACCCCCUCCCGCCCGGCUCUGGAAGGGGGGAAAGGGGUAAUAACUUACCUUUUUCCAGCGCUGGGCGGAGAGCCUCUCCUCCUCCUCUCCCCUCCGACCGCCCGCCGCGAAUGCGCCGCGCUCGCGCGCCAGCCGUCGCAUAGGAAAGCAUUUACAAUGCUUUCCUAUGGACGCUGGCGUGCUCUCACUGUGAAAAUCACAGUGAGAAGCACGCAAGCGCCUCUAGUGGCUGUCAAUGAGACAGCCACUAGAGGAUUAGGGGGAAGGCUUAACCCAUUCAUAAUUAUAGCAGUUUCUCUGAAACUGCUAUAAUUAUGAAAAAAUGGGUUAACCCUAGAAGGACCUGGCACCCAGACCACUUCAUUAAGCUGAAGUGGUCUGGGUGCCUAGAGUGGUCCUUUAAGUUCUCUGCCAUAUAUUUUUUUAUGAUACGUUUUCUUUUGUUCUAUUUUUACAUUGUCCGCUUUAGCUUAACUAUCUAUAUUUUAUGUUUCAUUUUGCUUAUUAUUUCAUUACUUGUAUUGUCAAUACACUAUUUUGUAGCAUGUAUUUUAGAUAUUUUCACAAUGCAGAUAAAGAUGUUUCCAUGGAGAAAAAUAUCUCAAUUGUUAUAAAAUUCUAAUGUGUGUUUCUGCGUAAAUGUGUUUAUCAGGAUAAAAAGUACAUUUGUACCCACCAUGCCAAAAAGAGAAGAGAGCUCUAAUUGUAGGUUUUCAUCUUUCAUUGCAGAUGAUCUAAAAAAUUGAUUACGCAAUUGUUUUUAAAAAUGUUUUUACAUCACUUUAUUGUACCUAAGUUCUCUUGUACCAUGCAGCUGGUAUUUUUCAAACUGGGCAAAAAAUCUGAAAAUACAUACAUUGAGCAUAUAAAAGUUGUGUCUUUUUUUUAUAUAUAUAUAUAAACCUCACCCAUGGAGCUCUAAAUAAACCAUAAUGAAGGCAAAAUAAUAUAGAAAGGACCAUGCUAGGUGUAAGAAACUUCACCAUAUUUUAUACAUGACCCUCUUUCUGUCCAUAGGAGAUAAAUAAUGUAGAUCAUCUUGAUCUGAAGACCUUACGAUAAACUUGUGCUAGACUGAACAGUGAAGUUCUUUUGCAGUGGCUAUCACUUUUUUAACUUGAUGAAACUAUUCAAAACAAGGAGGGACAAAUCCAAAGAAUUGUGCUGACACUUACUUUGAAGAAAAAAAAAACACUGUACGUGAGAGCCUUAAAUUUCGCAACACUCAAGAAAUACAUAUUCAUCAAGAGACUUCUUUUUCAGCUUAGCCUGACACCGAACCCCUUGCCAGUAUGUAAGACAGUAAAUAUCUGUCUAAUUUGUGAAGUUAAGCUGAACAAAAUGUACUUAUUCUUCUCAAGACACCCUCUUCAUAUUUUAUGUCUCUCGGUAUAAGCAAUAUAUAGUGUUGAUAAGUCAUUACAUUCUUUUUUGUCACAACAUUGGCCCAAAAUAAUGAAGUUCAAUAAUUAAGCCGAUAAAUUAAAAUGCCAGAGCUUCGUCUUAAUGAAUCAUCCAAAGGAUUCAUUUUAACGAGUGAAUGCUUAAUAAAGUUUUUACAGCGUAUCAAAUGUAAAAGAAAUAUUUUCAAAAAGUCUACUGAGUUGUUCAGAAAUAAAGGACAAGUUGUGUUGAUAUAUGUGCAUGCCAACAACCUAACAGUAAACUCCUGUGAAACAAAGCUUAAAAUAUACUUUUUUGGCUCUGGAGGCACAGUAUGAUAAUGUGAUUUACCUAUCUGCAUAUCUAUGUCAAUGACAUUACUGAGCAGCCUGGAAGCCCCUUUUAAAUAUAUAAUGAUCCUAUUGCUGACUCUGCCAGAGAACCAUGUGGCAUUAAAGUAUCUUAGCUGCUUCGUGACCUGUUUAAAAGCAGAGCAAGCUGUAAUUUAAUCUGUGCAAUGCCCACUGAACUGACUAUGCCAAUCUGAGAUGUCCCUCUAGUAACAGUUAUACGUGCAGGUACAUGUGAGAUGUUCAUGUGUGCAGAUGAUUUUACAUUAAUUAUUAUAUUAUAUAUUUCACUGUAUAGGCAAAAAUCUUCAUAUAUAUAUAUAUUAAACAACAGAGUGUGGUGGUAUGCAAUGUGCACAAAAAAACACUACCAACAUCAUUGUACAAUCCUCUAAUAUACGCAACAUUUUAAAACAAUACAAAACAGGUAUUUUGAAACAAUGCUUAAACCCAUAAAUCAAUAUCUUAAUGGCGGAGCGUGCAAAAAUGAAUUAGCUUUUAUAAAUUAACUUAGGACCACCACCCCUGGCUGCCAAGGGAAGAGGCAGGCAAACUCUACUUGAGCGUGCCUGUCUCUUCCUCACAGAUCUCAGCAGCAGCCGUGCGAUCGUUUGCACAAGUCAUUGCGUGUGCACACAACUGUGUGUGCACGCAACAAUGUGCAAGCGUGUGCACACUGAGACCAAGUCAGAGGCUUCUCCAUGAGACUGAAAGUCUCUUUUUGGGAAAAGGGGAAGGGUUUACAAAGGCUGCAGUCACAAAAAUUGCAGCUUUUGUAAUCUCUUUUAGACUAUACUGCCAAAGAAUGCAUACAUAAAAAUAUGUGUGCAUGUAUUCAUUUGAGGUAUUUCUACUAAACUGUGUUUUCUUUAGGGGGGAGUUCUUUUAAAGUGUGGGGUGGUCCUUUAAGUGAGCAUCUAUUUUCAAAUAGCAGUUGGGUGUAGUAUCCUUUGCCCCGUGAUUUUUAGUGGUCAGCUCCUGUGAAUGGCAGUUCGCUACCUAAUCAUCUAUCCUAUAAUGUUAAUGUACAUCUGCUGUGUUUGGCAGUUGGAUACAGCACUCUCUGUCCAAUGAUAUUUAGAUAGCAGCUUCUCUGAAUGGCAUUUGGACCCCCUUAAUUUGCUGUGAAUUGUAUGUGUUCUUUAUGAUUGUUUACAGAAUUUAAAUCAACUGUCAAUACCCUAAAAGAUUGACCAUAUACUCGUAAUUUUGUUUUCUAAUUCCUACAUAAUUCUUGUCAUAUGAAAUAUUCAAGAGAAUUGUCCCAGUUUGCAUUACCUCUAAAUAUCUCUAUCUUAAUUCCAUCCAACAAAGAAAAUGAUAGAAUAAUACAGUGAGGCAUUAUGUGAGUUAUCAUGUUAACUUAAUGAAACAUGACCAUGCAUUGUAAAAAAAUUACAACAGUGAAUAUGAGAUUACUUAUAACAUGGAGGCAUUCUGUUAUUUUCUCAUCAAUAUAAUUAAUAUAGAUAUUGAACAACAAAGGUGUUCAUCUAAACGCAGUGGGGAUAACGAUAAUGACCUCCUACUAGACUGAAAUUAUCCCUUAUUCAUGCCAUCUGUUUGCUUCAUAGUAAUUGCUGCAUCUGUGCGUAAAGCAAGGAAAUGUCAAAUUUGGAUGGUGUGGUUAGUGUUUAUUCCAUAACAAUGUACUACAAAAAUUAUUUAUAUGCUGGACUGCAUUAAAUGCCUUUGACAAUUUACCGCAUUCUUUUAUCCCAUGUUUUUAUAUCUUUAUCCAUCAGUCCUUUGAGUUUGUGUUAUUAUUAUUUUUUUUUCUGCAAUGGAAAAUUCUCAGAUUAACUAAGUCCAAAUAAUUAGGAGGAAAGGGUUUCACGUUUCCUUUUUAAUUAUCAGGUUGGAGGAAAUAUUUGCUUGUUUAUCUUAAGAAAUAAGUAGAAUUGCAGUGAAAUUGAAAGUCAUUUCAGGUAAAACAUUGGGUGCUUAAAUGGUGAUGUACACAAGUUAAAUGACCUGCCCAACUGCUUAAUACAAUCCUUCAUAAUGAGUAAUGAGGCAGUUUACGUUUAUAUCAUGACGAUUCUGGUCUCCUAUGUGUCGUUAAGUGGUUAAAGGUAUUUGUUGCUCACCUUUAUUAUGCUUUAUCCCAAAAUGAUUAUUGGAAUUCUUACAAGGCCUUACUGAACAUCAUUUACACAAAAGGUGCUUGAACGCCAAAAUUACUGUGAAGAAAUGGAAACCCUCACUUUACAUCUCGAUUAUCUCAGUGCUACAUUAUGACCAUCAAGUCUAUUAUAAUAGCUCUGGAGAUCGAAGAGGAGUGCUGAAACAGCUUGUGACUUUAGUAUUGAUAUGUAGAAUCCCACCACCACCGUGAUAGCUAGUUUCCCCCUGACAUUGGUUGAAAUUUAGAUAAUAAUAACUAUUGGACAGGGGGAGGGAGGAUGGCAUGCUGAAUGAAGAUGAAUAUACGUUUUUGCACAAUGAUUUUCCCAGGAUGCCAGUCUUUUAUACCCUGCCCAAGGUCCAUAAGAAUAAAGAGAACCCCCCUGGGAGACUAAUCGUCUUGGGUAUUAAUUCUAUUUCGGCUAAUCUUUCUAAGUACAUUGACACCUGGCUACAAGAUUUAGUUUAAACCAUACCUUCCUUAAAAGAUGUGAUUAAUUUAAAAAAAAAUACUAAAUGGAAAAGUUCAUAUAUUUUGGUAACUAGCGAUGUAUCUUCCUUGUACACAUCUAUUCCUCAUGUUCAAGGUUGCCAGGUGAUAAAAGAUUGUUUAAAUAAAUCUGGCAAGUUUUCAGAGUAACACACAGAUUUUUUAAUUAGAAGUAUAAAUUGGAUUUUAAAUAAUAAUUAUUUCCUAUUUAAUUCUUAAUUUUAUUUACAAUGUCAAGGGACUACUAUGGGGACCAGGUUUGCCCCCAGUUACGCUAAUUUGUACAUGUUAGGAUGGGAAAAUAAGUAUAUAUGUGAGAGCCCAGAAUGGGGGGCAAACCUGGUCACAUACUAUAGAUAUAUUGAUGAUCUAAUUUUUAUAUGGGACCGGAAAACGAUCUAACUAGAUUUUAGAAAGACUAAUUAAUAAUAAUAAUUGGGGGAUCAUUUUAACUAGCAUUUUUAGUAAGUCAAAUAUUAAUUAUUUAGAUCUGGAAAGCUAUAUAGAAAACGAUGAGAUUAAAACAAAAAAAAAAUUUCAAAAAGGCGGACGCCACCAAUUAUGUUCUGUACAAUGGUGGCCACUAUACUCCUUGGCUUAAUAAUAUCCCAAAGGGGCAGUUACAAAGAAUUAGGAGGAACUGCACGGAUAAAGAGAAAUUCAAAGAACAAGCUAUGGUAGUUAUGAAUAAAUUUAAACAGAAGAAAUAUCCACAGCAAAUUUUAGAAAAAGCAUAUAAAGAAGUAAUAAAUUUAGAACCAGAGAGUUUAUUAAACAAACAAGAAAAUACAGAAACUUUAGACGAGGAGAAACAAGAAAUAUUACCCUUAGUUUUUUAAUCAAGACUGUAAUAAAGUAAGAUCUAUUAUUAAUAAACACUGGCACCUUUUGAAGAAAGAUAAUGAACUUAAUAAGAUAAUCCCAGAAAAGCCUUUUAUUACUUUUAGAGGAGCGCCUAAUUUUAAACGUAUUUUAACUUUUAAUCACCCUAAAAAGGAAAUCUCUAAAACGUUUUUAGAAAAAAAAGGGUUCUAUUCAUGCAACAAAUGUGCAGGGUACAGAUGUAAUAGGAAUGCCACUUUAAAAGGCAUUAGCAAAUCUAAAAGUAAAUCUAAUGAAACUGAGUUAGUUAUAAAAGAUUUUAUUAAGUGUUUUAGUAAAAAUUUAAUUUAUUUGUUAAUAUGUCCAUGUGGACUACAAUACGUUGGGCGAACGAUUCGCCCUCUACACAAAAGGAUAUACGAACACGUGAAUAAUAUCAUUAAAGCCUAUGAUAAUGAUAAUCAUAGUGUUUUUGCACAUUUUAAGAAAUGCCAUAAUAAGGACCCAAAGGGCCUCGCAUUUUUAGGAAUAGAGGUAAUUAAUAAAUCAUGGAGAGGAGGCAACCAUAAUAUAGAUAUAGGCAAAAGAGAGAUGCAAUGGGUCCAUAGAUUAAAGACUUUAGAACCUAGGGGAUUAAAUAUUGAAUUUGAUUUAUUCAAUUUUUUUAGGUUAAAAUAAUAAAUUGACAUUUCCAGUUUUUUAUAUUUUUAUAUUUUUAGAGAUCAAAAAAUAUCAUUUUUUCCCCCCCUUGGCAGUAUACUACUUUUCAUUCGUUUACAUUUUAUUUGUUUUUAUUUUUCAUUUUUUAUUUUAAUUUAUAUAUUUUAUAUAUUUUUUAAAUAAAUUGUUGAUAUUUUAUAUGAAUUUUUAUAAGAGUUAAAAUAUACUAUAAUUAAAAUGGGGCUGUCUACAUGUAUUAUGUAUUACUCUCUCUUCUUUUAUUUUAUUUAAUAGAAAUUGAUCUCUUUGAAAUUUAUAAAUAUAUUUUUUUCUAUUGAGAUUACCGUUUUUUUUUAAAUGUGAAUGUUUUUAUGUUAUUAAUGGAUGUCUAGUUCAUGAUAAGUGUAUUUUUAAUUUUACGUAAUAUUGUGUUUUUAACCCCUUGAGGACACAUGACAUGUGUGACAUGUCAUGAUUCCCUUUUAUUCCAGAAGUUUGGUCCUUAAGGGGUUAAAUACCCUUUUUUAUAUGCUGGUAUGAACGCAAGCAUGAUAUGAAUACUAGCUAUAUAGUUUUAAGUUAGAGUGUUUUUAUAAGGGUUGUUUCUGAAAAAAUAUAGAGAUUUUAGUUUUUUUUACAUAUUUAUGGUCUAUAUGUAAUUUUGGAGUGUGAAAAUGUUAUCAGCUGCUGGAAGACUGGAGUAUAGACUUUUCGUUAGUAACCUCAACACGCCCACAAGGGCGUGUAUAAAAGACUUGAAAGGAAGUAAACAGACAGAUCUGAUGAAGCCGUGACUACGGUGAAACGCGUCAUCAUGCAGCACGCAGUACACACGACGCACCUUUGGAGACUUCUCCCCCGGAAGUGUUUUGGCGGGCAACAGUAGCAACAGUAUCGGCUGGUAACUGAGGGACUUGUCGACACCCCUUUUUGUGAACGGCUUGUUAUACGUGUACUUCAUACAGAGGAAGGAGGAAUUCCUGUGCUGUGUUGGGCAAUACAUUUGUGAAGAGGAACUCCUGGUCCGAGCAGUCUUUUUUCCAGAGGGUAUAUUUAAAGGAGCUGAUAUACUUAGAGUGUAUCCUCUCUUUAUUUUUAUUUAUAGUUGGUUUCUCACAGAUUUACACUAUUGUUGUUUUUUUGUCUCUCCCUUUUACAUGUAUACGAUACCUGGAGAGGACGCAUAUAUGUAUGUAUAAGUAUAUUUUAUAAGAUACUAUCACUGUACACACAGAGUGCAUAUAUGCGUCCUCACUUUGCACUUUAAUUUAUUUAGCACUUGUGUCACUUUAUAUAUUUGGUCUUAAAGACACAGCACACCUUAAUUCUGUUUUUUGUAUUUUACGAGUGUUUGUUGAAGCUUUACACUUGUUUUGGUGCAGUUUUCUUUUUUUUUUUGAGAUAUCCUUUGGUUUUGAUAUUUAUUCUCUUUUUUAGACAUUUAUUACUAACGCCUAUUUACUACUUAUUCUUGUAUAUAAAUUUAGAUAAUAGCUGUAGUCAUGGCUAGUAUCUAAGUUUUUAAGCACUGGUCAGGGACUAAUUGACCACUCGGACACUUUGGUCGUGGAUCAAGGUCACAAGAUUGUCAUGAGCCCAGCUGUGUCUGUGGGCCAAUUGGAGAGAUCAGCAGAUCUCUCACUUUAUAAUUUUUUUCUAUAUCUAAACUGCGGGACCUAUGGUAUAAAGGGUCCCUCAUUGUAGCUUACCCUUGAUUCUUCCUCCUCUGUAGCUACAGCAUGUCUCUCCACUGUUUCUGAAUGUUGAAUUGUUUUUCAAUGCCAGGCUGCCAGCACAGUGUCAGAAGAGAGGCAGGGAUAUCUUACAUCAUAGCCCCUCCCCUUCACACUCUGUCUGCACAGGGGCUGCUUAAAUAUGUGCUGAGAUCAUGAGGAGCCAGCAGUAUGCCAGAUAGCCUCACACAGCCUGGCCAUACGACUAGGAUUAAGAUAAGAAAAGCACCUCUAGUGGCUGUCUGAGUGACUGGCACUGAGGGGUCCCUGAAAAGGCAGUGUUUACAUUAAAAAGCCUGGAGGGGUGUAGCGAAGCCCUUGUCCUGCCCAGGACUUUCCUCCGCUGGAUCACCAAGAGUAGAAAUCAGGAACAAGAUACUACCAAGUAAAUAGCCCACCUACUCCCCAGUAACUGGACGACACACCAUUCAGGGAGUACAACUGAAAUUUAUUCUGUCACACACGGCUUUUAUGCACUGGCCCCUAGCAUGGGGUUUUCACAUCAAGAACACAUGGGUUUCUUCCCAAGAGCCUUUGUAUUUGAGAGAUAAUUGAGCUCAAAUUAGGAUAACUCAAUUAUCUCUCAAAUAUAGAAACUUACAUACAUUUUUAAAAUACCCUCAAAAUACACAAAAAUAAUACACCAGCACUAUAAAAAUCACAUUCCCGAAUAGCCUCGAUCUGAAAGCGCACAGAUCAAUUUGGUAGCAUGAAAGUUCUGUUCGAAUAAGGUUUUGAACGACCAGAAAAUUGGGCAGGAUUGCCUGUCGGCUUUCUGGGGUUCCUGUGCGAACGCCGACAAACGCUCCCCCUGGCUGCUAUGGAGCGAAUGCUCUCCCUGUUUGGUAGAUCCUAUCUCCUAAACGUCGUUCAUCUAGUUGGUUGGGAAGUGGGACGGGCAGCGGGAUCAUCUUUGCCCAGGAUCGUGGAGAUGCGAGUCCUAAAAUAGUUCCAGGCGUAUGAUGACCAGGUACCACUGCCUGCGUUCAGGAGACAAAAUGGUCCACGUGCUUUCUGUUAUAAGAAUGGUGGCCACCCAGGGAAAGCACUCAAGUAAAGGUUUCAAGUUGUUAAUUUGUGGUUGACAGUCAGGGGAGGUCAGUGCUCGCUGGGGCAUAACAAGGGGACCACGCACCAGUCAUUCGUGAGAUGGACAAGGGGGUACUGACAACAGAACACAAGGGAAUAGAGUCUGCUACAAGGGACAUACUACACACACCAGAACAACUACCUUAAACUGUGGUUAUUCUGGUGACUAUAGUGUCCCUUAAGGAUGGAGGCAUUUGUCUAAGUUCUAAACCAAAACAAAUCCUAGAAUUUGAGCUAAAUGUCUGUUCAACCAUAAUUUACCUCUUUCAUAAUAAGUGCAGCCACACUUAUUAUAUAUAGUUUCAUUCAGGAAUACAAUUUAAUAUAAAUACAAUCUAAAAACAUUUGAGAAAUUAAGAUUUUUUUGUCAGUUUACAGGUCCUACAUGUUAUUUUAACUGUGAAUGUCAUAUUUCUGUUACCUUUUACUGAAAUAAAACACAUACAUAUUUGAAUGCUGUGAUGUCCCAUGAGUACAAUCCAGGCAGUCCCCCUGCAGCCAAUCUUGCAAUCCGGUUGAUCUGAGUCAUGUGAUCGCAGUGUCAUAGUGAUCACAUGACUCAGAUCAUGACUCAGUGGGAUCCAAUCGGAUCUAGCGAGGUAAGUAUAAUCCCAUUGAGAUUCGUGGGGCUUCACCGGCACUGACGUGUCAUUACGCCCUAAGUUGUUAAAGCACAUGCCGUUUGGGACAUAAUGACACGUCCUAAUGGCGCAGAUUGUUUAAUGUACAGCUGUAGGGUUUGUUUACUAAACAGUUAUUGUAGUGAACUGAAAAAUUAGUUAAAAUAGCCAAGCUGUGAUUACAGGUGAGUUGAAGAAUGUUUCCAAAUGGGCUACAUUGUGCAAUAUAUCUUUCAAUUCAGUACAUUAAGCGGUUUAGUGAAUAAACUUAUCAAAAUUUGUUUAAACACAAAGUGGUUGUAAUAUGGGCCCAGGCCAGGGCCUUUGUUUGUCCAGGAGGGAUAGACUCUUGUCAGUUCACCUCUGAGCAGGGUAACUCACUAAAGAUAGAAAAGUCAGGAAUUCAGAGUGAAUUUCAAAUUUAAGGCCACAAUAGUCAAACUGGAUUCAUUCUCCAAGUUAGCUGUGAUUCCAGUUUGGCUACUUUUACUCUUAACUUUUACUUUUGGAAGCCCAUUGUAAUGUUCGUUACCCCGGCUCCAAUUGUUUCAUAUUGUAACUGCUAUAGUAAUUUUUUUACAUACAUUUUUUCCCCCAAUUAUUGCUACAUUGAUAAUGUAACUAUGUAGUGAUAGCUAUUAGUUACUGCAGUUGCGAUAGAUCGUACUGGAGCAGAAUAUAGGUUGGAAACGUAUCAGUAACUUGUGGCAGCUAAUAUUUACCAGCUGGUGUUAAUUACACCGAUUUCCAAUAGAUAUUUAGCUGGAACGGAGUUCUAAGUUGGGUAUUAAUAACACAGAGAACCAUUGAACACUGGUAAAAUCUAAAUGUGCAUUUCCUGUUUAAGUACUUUGAUAGCAUAGUGUGGACGUAAGAGAUUUCUAACUUUAUGGCUAUUUGAGUCACCUUUGAAAACCUUGCUUCUCUCAUAUUUCUAAUGAGUAUUACAGAAUUAACACAACCCCUUCAAUUUAUUUGACAUGAAAGAGAAAUGAUCAAACAUCGCAUCUGAAGUGGGACUCCGAGCAACUGAAACAUUAAAGCCACAUUUCAGUUUCAGGUAAUCAAAAGUGAGCGCGUAUUCUUUGUAAUAUUUAUCAAAAGGUGCUAAUUAAUGCAGACAUAGAUCUGCACUGCAUGAAAUUGUUUAUUAUUCUAUUUACCAUUCAAUAAAUACUUAAGGUGAGCUACGUAAUGCCAUUUAUUGUUAUUUAUAGCACCAAAAAUAGACCAUUUGGGAGACAUUAUUGUACAUAUUGCAUAGAAUGCUACAUACAGUUUCUUUAUUUACUGGUUAGUGGAUACAAUUAUCAAAAAAGUAGAUAAUGUCAGCUACCAUUUGUAAGUUUUACGAAAUUCCCUUGGUAAUAAGGUUAUUUCCUUAGGACUGCCACUUGACCUAUUGAUUUAAACUAUUUACAUGCAGUAUUUAUAGUGAGAUCUUAAAAGCACAGGCUCGAGUGCACAUGAGUGAGAGAUAACAUGUGAGGAUAUCCGUUUUAUUGACAGUUAAUACAUAAAAAGCAAAAGUGCUUUUAAUACAGCGUAAGGGUUCACAAUAUAGGGUCAGGGUUCACUUCUAGUCUUUCCCAGUUCUGACAACUUGUUAAUGGUCAAAAUAAAACAAAAAAUUGUUAUGUGAUGGUGUAUUCCUGUGUUCUUCCAGACUGAAAGAAGAAGAGCAUAACUCAGCAUAGCAAAGGAAUUAUCCAAUGCUCUGCUCCACAUGGGAUGCAUGGCCAGAAGGACAGUGUUUGUAUGAGCACAGUACACUUCAUAUGUUGGCUUUUAAGGUCACUAAAGGUGUUGUAUCAUUAUCAUUUCAAAAGGCACACCCUUCUCCGUAACAAAAGGAACACUGGUACUUCCAGUAUGGGUAAUUUACCAUGUGUUAUGUCAUCACAACCUGCACAGUGUUUCAGUUAUGGUCGACCGAUGUCCCAUCAAAUUAAAGGACCACUAUAGGCACCCAGGCCACUUCAGCUCAAUGAAGUGGUCUGGGUGCCAGGUCACCCAGGGCUUAACCCUACAGCUGUAAACAUAGCAGUUUCAGAUAGGGUUAAUCCAGCCUCUAGUGGCUGUCUCAUUGACAGCCGCUAGAGGUGCUUCCGCGCUUCUCACUGUGAAAAUUCCAGUGAGAAGACACUUACGUCCAUAGGAAAGCAUUGAGAAAUGCUUUCCUAUGGACUAAUUGAAUGCGUGCGGCCCUUGCCACGCAUGCGCAUUUGGCGGAUGACGUCGGAAGAGGGAGGAGAGUUCCCCAACGCUGAGGGAGCCUGGCGCUGGAGAAAGGUAAGUGUUUAACCCCUUCCUUCCCCUUCAGCCCAGCGAGAGUGGGACCCUGAAGGUGGGGGGGGGGGGACCCAAAAACCCUAUAGAGCAAGGAAAACGAGUUUGUUUUCCUGGCACUAUAGUGGUCCUUUCAGCUCACCGCAACAAAAUUGGUCUUAUGCCUUCUUUGGAUCAACGGCAGCUAUACAGAGCAAUACAAAUGUUUAAAAGCCUGAACUUGGCUGACUUGAGUCUUGUUUUAGAUAAUAUUACAUUGCAACUACUUAACUAUGCAUUUGCCUCGUUUAUAUCAGAAUGUACAGGAAUAGUGGCUUUGACAUUAAAGUGCGGUUUGAUAAACAGUCGCAAAAACCGGGCUUCUUUAUCAGUAUUUUCAGUGCCAAGAAGAAAAUGAAUAUGGUCUACAUAGAAAAAGAUUUGGAAACAGAUUUCCUAUUUUCUUGGACUUUAACUUUAACAUUAAUUUAGCUAGAUUUAUAAACAUAGUGUAAGGUACCGAGAAAUCUCUAGGUCUAUAAAACAAUGAUAACUAUUUACAUUUCCUAUGUUACUCAGCCUACCUAAACUCUAGCUGAAUAUGUGAAAUGUAGUUCAGAAAUACACAGUGUUCCACAGUUAGCCUUCCCUGCUUCGGUCGAUGUGGUCCACAAUAUCUCAUGAUGCGGAUGAGGGCUUCGAAUCCAACAGGUAUUAAAUUUAUCAGAGAUUGGCUUAUAAAUUACCACACAAUUAAAUUAUCUAGAGCUUGAAGACAACAGCAAUAUGGGUUUCAUGGGACGCAAACAUCACAUUCACUUAAAUGUUAAACCCUUAAUAUAUUAGAAACGCUUUCACAGAUGCUGCAUCUGCUGACACAAACAUAAUUGUAGAAAAACUAAUAACCACCUCAUUACGCAUACAUUUACCUCCUGCCACAUAUAUUUCACCUUGUGGCACUUACGGCGUAUGCAUGGGGAAUGCCUAGUUUCUUGUAGAAAAAAUUGCUUGGCGUUUAUUAAGAUAUACAACUUCUCGAUAUACUGGAACUAAUGCUAGAAAAUAUUUAUUUACAUGGAAAAGCCAGAGGUCUAGGGAAUUAAUAAUUUCAUGUGUUGUCUGUUGCACCUCUCUAGAAGUCUAAGAGCCUACAGCAAACAUAUUUUAAAGGUUACAUUUAAUUAAUGGAGAGUCAUCUAUAUUCUGUGUAAUCAUAUUUCAACACAUUCCUAUGCAAAGUAGUGUAAUUUUCACUUUCAUCAAUGCCCAUUAAAUUCUACACGUAUAAUGAAAGGCAGAAGGCACAAAAUCAUGUUUUCAUACUAGAUUCCUUAUGAAAACGGUAAGGGAUUAAAGGUUAAACAUUUAAAUUAAGUACGUUAUUGAGAUGGUUCUGUUUAAAGGGCGACUUGUGUGUUACUAUUUCAGAACUUCCGGCUCUCCAGCAAUGAUAGAAGACAUUGUUAGCAGUGCCAAGCGGACCCCAGUUGUGAAGUCAAUUCCUUCAAAAAUGGUUUGACUCCUUACAAUGUGAGCUGGCAGGGCACUUCUGGCACCAUAACAACUACAGCAAGCUACAGUGUUUAUGGUGCUUGGAGUUUUCCUUGAAUGUAAUUUAUGAGCGUAGCAUGCACGUAUACAUGUAUAUUAAAGGACCACUAUAGGCACCCAGACCACUUCAGCUUAAUGAGGUGGUCUGGGUGCCUGGUCCAUCUAGGGUUAACCCUUUUUUCUAUAAACAUAGCAGUUUCAGAGAAACUGCUGUGUUUAUGUUAGGGUUAAUCUAGCCUCUAGUGGCUGUCUCAUUGACAGCCGCUAGAGGGCUUCCGCAUUUCUCACUGUGAAAAUCACAGUGAGAAGACACCACCAUCCAUAGGAAAGCAUUGUGAAUGCUUUCCUAUGGACUGGCUGAAUGUGCACGCGUGCGGCUCCUGCCGCGCAUGCACAUUCAGCCGAAGAGGCGGAGAAGAGGGAGGAGAGGAGGAGGAGAGCUCCCCACCCGGCACUGGAAAAGAGGUAAGUUUAACCCCUUCCUCUCCAUCCAGCCCGGCGGGAGGGGGACCUUGAGGGUGGGGGCACCCUCAGGGCACUAUAGUGCCAGGAAAACGAGUAUGUUUUCCUGGCACUAUAGUGGUCUUUUAAUAGAUAUAUGUAUUAACAUAAAAAUAUUAACAUAAAAUAUUAGCAUAAAAUACAUAUAUUAAUAUAAUAGACACAUGCGUAUAUAUGCAUAGUACUCUCAGAAAUCACAAAAUUGUGUAAAAAUUUUUUUAAAAUCAUAGAUUGAUGGAUGAAUGCAUGGAUGAAUGGAUGGAUGGAUCUAUAUACUCAUAGACACACACUGUCACUUACACACACUCUUUCUCACUGACACACACAUUAUCUUAUUGACAUGCACUAUAUAUAAUAUAUAUAUCAAGUUUUGUAUAAUAAUAUUCAUUACAUAGUUAACAUUUAGUAACCUUGUGAACUCUGUACUCCUAUAACCUUUUCAUUUAUGUCCUCUCUUUCAGCACCUGCAUAUUAGGUUCUGUUGCCUCCUAAUGAUGUAAGACAAGUUAAUUUAUCUAUUUUGCCUUCAGCCGAAGUCAUACAGAAUGAUGUUCUUUUUUCUCAAGUCAGCUCUUUAGAAUUGCCCAAAGCUGUAAAUCUUCAACAUUACUGCUAGCUUCCACAUUUCCAUGGUUGGAUGUUUGCAAGGUUCUCAUUCAUUGUAACUUUCAUUCUAGGGUACCGUCAAGAAAAAAAAAUUAAUGCUCAAAUUUUUAAAAAUUUUUUACUUUUUAUUUUUCAGUUUAAAUUUUCUCCGCUUCAAACUUUUACAUGUGAAUCUGAGUAUUGGAAACACCAGUGCACUCACAAAUGUUAUUGUUGUCUGCAUUAAUCAGUUGUUAUCUUCAGGAUUUCAUGCAUAUUGACCAGUCCAGAUUUCUUAAUCAAUACAUGUCUCUUUACUUCAAUGUGAAUGUGACUUUUAUCUUUAUGUUUUAUGGCAACCAAGAUGGCAAUCUAAUUUGCCCCAUCUGCCUGAUUUUCUACAUGCAUCAAAUAAGCCUGUACUAUAUCAACACACGUCCACCAUUAGGCCUUCUUCAACGUUACCAGAGUCAUCGUCGUAAAGAACGACUGACACCAUGUUUUCACUUCUCAUCUGUUUUUAAAUGUAUUACAUUUAUUAUUAAUUUUUUUUAAUGAUGUAUAUGGAUUUUGAUAAUAAAUCACUUUUUUAUUUGUCUGAGAAGCCAUGUUUCGUCAGACACUAUUGUUAGUUGACCCACUUCUGCUCACCCAGGCAAGUUAGGUUGAGUAACUGUUUUUCAGAUAACAGUAAACUCUGACCCAAAAUAACUCAUCCAGGCAAUUUAGGUUCAGUAGCUGUUCUUUAGAUAACAGUAAACUCUGACCCAAAAUAACAUAGGGAAAAAAAUGUGGUUUGACUGAAUCAAUUUGUCCCCCAAAUGUUUUUUAUUGGUUGACCAAAUAUUGUCUGUUUAGUGAUUGGGCUCCUCCAAAUUUCAUUCAUACAAAUUAUUUAGAUAAAAACAAUUCAAGUCGAAGGGUAUGCAAAUUGGCCAAUGGGUGGACUGCAAAAUACACAUAAUAUUUACAUGACAACUCUUUUUUCCUGAAACUAAUUCUGGUUGAAAUACUGGCAACCAGUUUCUUACUGGAUUUUAUCAUUCAAAUUCUGUUCACAUUUGUUUCAGCUAAUUUGAGUGUUAAAUUACUUGUGAGCAUUACAUUGGGAAUUUUAAGCAUUAUGUCCAGCUGAUCCCUGUGAUAAUUUAUUUAUUAAUUUAUUAUUUAUUUGAGGUAGUGGCUACCUCCUAACAAUCAAUCAUCUCUUUUUUUGAUGCCAUGGGAAGAACUCCAAAUCAUAAAUAAACUGUACGGUUCGGUUAUUUCUCGAAAUUUGCCAUAAAUUCUGACAAAUUGUAUUCCAGAGGAAACAAAUACAUAAGUAUACAGCUCAUCUGAAUAUAUGUAUGUGUGGUUGUGCCUGUGGAUACGUAAAGCAGAGUUUGAGAAUGUCUUUAUGUAUGUAUGUAUGUAUAAGGUGUGAGGGAAAGUCGCUACAGUGGAGUGUCGGUAUGUGGGUAUGCGUAUAGGCAUGAGGAAAAAAAUAGAAGAAACUUAAAAGCCUUCCCACAUUUAGAGCUCCAGUGUUUGUUGUCAAUCCCAGAAUUUGUGUCUGUAUCAAAAAGUGUUUAAAAAUGUUUAUCUAGUUCUGAACCUUCUGUUGUUUUCAGUGAGUUACCAAGCAUAUCUUUUAAAGCCCCUAGUUUAACUAGUUUAUGUAGUUCACAAAUCAGCAGAUAUUUUAUAUAUAGCAUUCGUUAAUUUACCAAAUGGCUCUAUUUAGGUUGUUUUCACUAAUGAAGAUAGCUACACGGCUGCUAUGAGCUGGCUAUUUCAAAGCAAGAAUCAGGGAAGACUGUAAAGCAUAGUGAGGACUUGCAUGCUAUGAGGAAACUGUCCAACAGCAUGCCAUACAACCCUUUGCAGGGGCAAUACAGAACAUAGCUUCAGAGUUUAUUAGCAAUUGACUGAGCCUUAUAUUUUUGGACCCAAGAAUCUUUGCAAAAUGACAAACUUAUUUCCUGAUAACACCUUUCUUUAGUAGAGCCUACAAUUUUGUCAUUACUUUCCUCCAACAAGGUUAUGUCUUCAUCCUAGGGGGGAAAAAAAUACUGAAUUAGUAAGUAUGUGACAUGUGAUAUUAAUCAGUUGGGUGGCUUUUUACAAAAAUCCUUAAUAAAUCCAUGUUGAGCAUGUUUACCUUUGCCGAUUCCGAUGGGGAUUUAAAUUACAGCUUUUCUGCUCACCUCACUUCACAUCCUUAAUGUGAGUUAGUAUUUUCUCCAAAGUUUAUCCUUGAGAGUUGCAGAAAAAGUCACUUUACCUGGAAAUUGCUUUGUUUUAAAUAACACACAGAUCACAGACAUAAAUAAUGAAUGUGCUAGUAAUUAAUACAUUUAAUAAUAUACACACAAGCAUAAAACCCAGGAAUAAAAUACCUUUAUAACAAAAGCCUAAACAUUAGACUACAUCUUUAUUAUAGUGUGUGUUUCAUAUCAUAUUUUAUGAAUGUUGUUGUGCUGUUAUGUCAUGUUCAAUUAUUUAUUUAUCCCAAUGGAUUAAAAUGUUGCUUUUCAACAGCUAAUCAAAUCUAUAAAGAUAUAAAUAUAUAUUUAGGUUCAUUAAAUUACAUACAGCAGGUAGACUUUCUGUAGUUAUACAAAGCUUUCGCUGUGUGAGUUACAGCCCCAGGUAUGAGGUAUGACUCUUAUCACAGUUGAUACAUUUUAUCCCAUUCACAAAGCUUAAAUAAUUUCUGUUUGGAGGGAUUAUCCCCAUAUAAUGCAAUUAUAAAAUUGGUGUUUAAAUUUUUAAAUUCACAUCUGCAGAUGGAAGCCAAAUAUUGCUAUACUGAGUUCUUCAUUGCAUGCUACAAAUGAUUAAUCUAUUGUAGCUAAAUGCUCUAUAGAUAUUAUUUCAAUUAAUUGCUAUAUACUUUGAUGAAUAUUUUUAUAUGUUACUAAAAUAUUUAAAGGGUUUCUAUACUUCCUUUGAGAGGGAGGACAUUUCAGGUGUAACAUUCCCCAUCGGGCAUUAUAGGGAAGGUCCCCCUCACAAGUAAAAAAAGGUUUUACUUAUCUGAAAUCCACGGCACUGCUCUUCUGUGCCACUUCUGAUGUCACUGUGGGCACAUGAGGUCUAAUCACAGGCUUCUUAUUUCACUGACUGAGAGCUCAUGCGCACAUUCUGGGCCAAGGAGGGAAGGCAGAGGGAGGAAAUGGGGAGGACGGAGGCUUUUAUUUUCUUUAAAAAACAUCAAUGUGGUAUGAAGUGAGGUACCUAUAGGGUGCAAGGGCAAGAUUUCAAUGCAGAGCACUGAUAACAUACAGAAUUUAUGCACAGAAUUGGCAUUGGCAGCCCAGAGCCAAUGCCAUGUGUGCUGGGGGUGCAACUAACACCCAGUACACAAUUACAAAUAUCCCAGUAUGUGCAGUGUCUCAAGCAGAAACACUGCGCAUACACACUCAUACCACCAUGAGUACUGCAAAUCACUGAAAUGUUCAUGAUGUUUGAAGUAACCCUUUAACACAGAACAGCAUGGUCAUGACAAUUAAUUUAGUACAUUUAUAUGGGUUUCUAUAUUUUUCUAUACAUUUUAAUGUAUGUUAUUCACUUUUGAAAGUAUAUCCUGCAAUAUAAAUUUGGUGAUUUUAAUCAUUUUAUGUGUUUUUCUUUUUUGUUAUUUUUUUGUUUUGUUUUGUUUUCUCACAUUCAGUAACAAAUAAGGACAACAAAAAUGGUGUACUACUUUAUAUGAAGAGAAUACAUCAAUAUAUAAAUAUAUAACUUUAAUUCCAGCCUUCUUACCAACUCCAUUGAAAAUGAAAAUGGGGUUAUGGUGCUUGGAAUGUUAAGUGCUUAAAUGCUUGGUGUAGCAGCAUGUUUUAUUAUUAUACAGAACUAUCAUUGGAAAACAUCUGUGAAUGUAAUGAAAAGAACUCAAUUUGUGCCGUAAAAUAUGAUAAAAGUGACAAUGAGUCAUGAUGGGAAGAAUGUAGGGAUGAUGGUUGCUAUAAAUUAGGUUUUACAUCUCUUGCAUUCACUGCUUUAUUCUGUUUAAUUAAAUUAACAUACUUACCUUUUUUGUUUUUUACACAGUUUUGAUGGGUAGGAACAAAUAAGAGCAGAAUAAUAUAAACAUGGUUUUGAAAAAAUCAAGAUGAUCUUAAUGAUCCAGAUAUCAGACCAGCUGCCAGAGCCUUUCAUGUGCACAGUCUGUUUGAUUGUAGAGGAUGCCAGUACAAUACAUAUAAUAUAUCAAGCAAUUCCACCAUACUCUAAACAUAUAUACCUCCCUUGGGCAUAUGCAUACAUUACAGUAAAGGGGGCCCAACGACCAAUUCAUAUUAUCAGCGUGCUUGUGCAAUCAAUCUGUGUCUCCCAAUGGCCAAUGGCUAUUCUAUCCGUUUUCCUGCAUGACCUUACUUUAGUACUGGGUGCCGUUAUUGAGCCAGCAACACAACAAUGUCAUUGCACUAUUCGGCGUCUGUAGCAUUGGUGGGCAACCUUUGGCACUCCAGAUGCUGUACUACUUCUCCCAUAAUGCUAUUUAAGCCAUAACGCUGGCAAAGCAUGAAUGGACAUGUAGUCCUCAACAUCUGGAGUGUCGAAGGCUGCCAAUCUCUGGUCUUUAGGAUGAUAGUGAGUUAAUGGAAUUGAAUGAGAUGCGGAAUAACAGUUAAAGACCAUAGUGGAAUAUUAAUUUAUUUGAUUUACAAAUGAUUAUAAUUGUGGUGGCAUCAACAAAUACCUUUGUCUUCAGUAUUUGGGAAUGAAGGGGGUUAAAUGUGUUUAAUUUGCCUACAGAUUUUUACACCUUUGUAGGCCAUACUACUGGUCCCUGCACAUCGGUACCAUGCAAUCUUAUUUUUUAUUUUUUUGUGAUAAUACCUUGUCGAUGCUUCUGACAUCUUCAUGAGUCUAUCCCCUUAACUCUGAUACAAAGUAGGAGGAAGAAACACUAAUUUGGAAUCUCGCCAUGUAGCUCUAGGAAGAAUAUAGCCCAAGGGGUUUGGAAUUAUUGCCCUGAAGAACCAGGAAGUAACAUUCUAAGUUCAAACUAUUUCUCUUUAUGAAAAACUGUUCAUGAUAGUGUUGUAAACGCUGCUUUAAAUUCUCCUCUAUUUUAUGAUUUCAACUUAGAGCAGUGUUUAGAUAUAGCCCAUAAACACCUCGGGUGCUGUAAGUAACAAGGAUACACCUUAGGGAUCCUCAAAUGAACUUCAAUAAAUGUUUAGAUUAUUAAUAGACUCUACAACCUAAUCAGAUGCUUUCCAGUACUUGUUCUGCAUUUCAAUCUGGCUGUGAUUACAUAAGUACAGUUUGUGCUGCCCUUUAAGCUUGUUUUAGAUGUCUUUCAUUGCUUUAUUUGUGUGAGUGUCUGAGUAUAUGCAAGCUGCACCUAAUGCAUUUUUUAUAUGGCAAUUUAUAUAUAUAAAUUUAUAUUUAUAUAUAUAUAUAUAUAUAUAUAUAUAUAUAAAUUGUGUUUUUAUUGAUAUUUUUUUUUUAAAUGGUUUAAGGGAAAUUGCAAUGUUGUUUUUUGCAGUUAUAACACAUGUACCAUGUUUAGCAUACUGUGAUAAGCAGUUGUUUGUUAAUGGAAAAAAGGAUCAGAAUAUAGUAACUAACAAAUUAUUUUCAAUGUUGUUACUUAAAGGGACACUAUAGUCACCAGAACAACUACAGCUUAAGGUAGUUGUUCUGGUGAGUAUAAUGAUUACCUUCAGGCAUUUUCAUGCAAACACUGCCUUUUCAUAGAAAAGGCAGUGUUUACAUUGCCCCUAGGGACACCUCCAAGUGGCCACUCCUCAGAUGACCACUGGAGGUACUUCGUGGCUCAGUGCUGCACAGUACACAGCACUGCCGUUCAGCGUCUCCACGCUCUGCAUGGGUACACUGAAUUUUCUUCAUAGAGAUAUAUUGAUUCAAUGCAUCUCUAUGAGGAGGUGCUGAUUGGUCAAAAUGGUGUUUGGCCCCGCCCCUUGCCGAUUUCAGCCAAUCCAAUGCUUUCCCCAUGGGUAAGUAUUGGAUUGGCCAAAAAUCGGCAAUUCUGAUGAUGUCACUAAGGGGGUGGAGCUAGCGCCGGUGGACCCACACUUCGCUGGAAAUAAUGUGAGUUUUAAAUGCUUUUAAGGGGGCUGUGGGGGGGGGCAAGCCACCUUAAUGGUGGGUUAAACACUAUAGGGUCAGGAAUACAUGGUUGUGUUCUUGCCCCUAUAGUGUUCCUUUAAUUAUUCAAGACUUCAGAAGAAUGUAGUUGUGCUUUGAACACAUAUUGCAGGAUGCAUGCAGGUACUUUGUAAUAGAACAAGCAUUAAUUAAUUAAUUAAUUAAUUAGGCUUAUUCAUAAAAUACAAAUUCAGUGAUUCCCAACCCAGUCCUCAAGUACCACCCAACAGUCCAGGAUUUAGGGAUUACCCAGUUGUGUCUAAGGUGUUUUUAGAAAAGAAAAACAAACAAACAACACUUUAGACACAACAGGGAAAUCCCUAUAUCGUGGACUGGUAGGGGGUACUUGAGGACUGGGUUGGGAACCACUGUGCUAAUUAAUAGAAAUUCAAGUAAAUUUGCAAUUUCAAAUCGAAUUUGAAUUUGCCGGACUGGAACUAUUUGCCAAGUCAUUUUUUUAGUUCGGGUAUCCCGGCCUAAAAUUUUAUAAUCAUUCUAAAUUCCCAAUAAUUUCGGUUUUAGUUGGGUAAACAUAGAAACAUAGAAUGUGACGGCAGAUAAGAACCAUUCGGCCCAUCUAGUCUGCCCAAUUUUCUAAAUACUUUCAUCAGUCCCUGGCCUUAUCUUAUAGUUAGGAUAGCCUUAUGCCUAUCCCACGCAUGCUUAAACUCCUUUACUGUGUUAACCUCUACCACUUCAGCUGGAAGGCUAUUCCAUGCAUCCACUACCCUCUCAGUAAAGUAAUACUUCCUGAUAUUAUUUUUAAACCUUUGUCCCUCUAAUUUAAGACUAUGUCCUCUUAUUGUGGUAGUUUUUCUUCUUUUAAAUAUAGUCUCCACCUUUACUGUGUUGAUUCCCUUUAUGUAUUUAAAUGUUAAUGUAAUUGUCGAUUUAAUAAUAUUAGAUAAACUUCUUAAAAAUGUUUACAUUUUUUUGAUAAACUUUUAAAAUUAUAUAAUGAAACAUAUUUUAAUUGUAUAUUUUUGUAUUUUUUUAAUAAAUGUUUGCUAUUUUAAUAUUUUAAAAAAUAAUUUUUAAAGUUUAUCUAAAAGUAUUAAAUCAUUUCAAAAGCGUAUCCAAAAGUAUACAUUGAGGCCUAUGUGAGAUGUAAGGUAGAAGUAAUUACAAGUAAGGUUUCAUUUCAUGAUAUUCAUUGUAGUCGGUUAAAGAGCAAUUUAAGGACCCCAGAGCAAUGUAAUUUUCAUUCAAAUUUUUAUGCUUUACUUGUAACACCCUUGAGACUGUGUAGAUUAUUAUAUUUCUAUUCUAAGCAAAUUUAAUAUUAUUUAGCAUUAUUGUUUAUUUUUACAAGCACACCUUGUUUCAUUAAUGAAAAAUUACUAUUUUUGUAAUACUUAGUACUGCAAUGUGUGAUUUUAUAUCUACUUUCAGAAACAUUAACUAAGGAUUAUGCUAAUAGAUCCCACCGGAAAACUGCAAGUGACAGGUUCAAUAAAAUACUAUAGUUUAUAAAUGCAGACCAGAUUAUUCUCAAUUAAUAACUAUGCACUACAUGAUAUUCAACUGCUUGUAAAAACUGUUUCAGAUCAAAGAGGGCUUGCAAAAUGUAAAAAUUUUCAAGCACUGUUGUUGUAAUUUACCUGGUUGUUAAUUUAAUUAUGUACCAUUAGUUAUAAACAACCUUAUACCUUGAAGUAAACAGAUCAUAAUAUUUUCCAUUUUAGCAUAAACAUCUGCAACAGGUGUAGCCUAAGGUAUCCCUUAAAGUGUUGUAAAAAAAAUAAAUUCAAUGCACUAUCUCAUUUUAUUAUGUAUGCUUAAAUAACAGAAGUUUAGAGUACCACUGCAAUUAAAGUGUACGCUCACCUGCCAACAACAAGGCAAACUCCUGAGAUGAGCUCUCGAAUGAUAAGCCGUCUUGCUGCUUUCCUCUAAAUGGUAAAACCUCUAAUGAGACAGAAAAGGGUAUUCUUAUGAACUUCUACAUGGUAAAAUACCCUCAAUAGGGCUCAUAUAGCACUGUAACAUAAUGAAAUAGAAUCUUCUGUCUCAUUAGAGAUUUUGCCUUUCUGCGGAAUGUAGCAAGGUAAGUUGUUAGCAUAGGACUCACGUAAAAUGUUUGCCUUAAUACUGGCAGGUGAGCGUAAAUUGUAAUUGCCAUAGCUGCAGUGCUAAAAUGUUUAUUUAAAAGUACAUAGAGAUUUGGGAUAGUGUUAUUUCGAGGUUUUGGUUUUCUUUGUUUUUUUUAUAAUUUUGUUUAUGUAUUUGGGCCAAUGUUUUAACACUGGGUUUAUUACUGUGUAUUUUUGCUUUAGAGCUUUAACACCGCUCUGCCAUAAAAACUCACAAAAAAUAUUUAGCAUUACUCUCCUGUCUGCUCCUGUUAACUUUAUAGAACGCAACGAAAUCUUGCAAUUUGAGCAUUUUCAAGCACUGUUGUUGUCCUUUUAACUGUAGAUGGAAAGGGUUUACUAGAUGUCAUGGAUGCAAUGGUAAUAACUGAACUUUCAGAGGUUGGGAAAAGGUUCCACUAAGACAAUCAUGAACUCAUUUGAACAAAUCUGCUAUGAAGAUUAGGAUUAUCUUGUGGAAUGCACAAUUAUGAUUAAAGGAGAACUUUAUUAUAACCAGUACAACUUAAUGUAGACACUACACUUUUUUUUUUUUUUAUCUUGAUUGCUGAUUAGUAAUGAAAGGUUGAAGUGAUGGGCAUAUCUACCUCCAGUCCUCUCAGACUAUCAAUGAUAUGUGAUUGGUCUUUGGGCAAUGGAGAGAAUCCCAGGCUUUGUCAAACUUCUAUUGGGGACAAGUCACAUAGAUGUAUAGCACCAUAACAACUGCAAUGAGCUGUAGAGGUGUUGGUGCUGAGAAUGUCCCUUUAAAACAGUGCACUGCUUCUGUGUUCUAUAAAAUACACAGUAUCUGAAGUAAUUAAUCCCAGGAUUAAUGAAUUAUUAUUUAGAAAACAAAGCUUUUAAUGCAAAAGCUUUUCGUGUAGAUUUUCAUGCAUUUCAAGGGAAAUGUGGUCUUGAAAAACGCUGCUCUUCUAUCAGGUAUUCUCCUGCCUGAUUGGCUGUACCUGUUCUGUCAAUCCAUUACUUCACUGUGUGAUUGACACUCAAUCAGUCCAGUGUAGCUGAAAUGAAAGUGUAGGCAACAGAGAAUUUUCCCAGUUCUGAUAUUUAAACAAAUAUGAAAUCCACUUUGAAUUCUCACCUUAGUUAAUAAACCUGUUAGUAAAAUGUGUGUCCAUUAUGUACAGGUUCUGUUCAUGUCUACUGUCUGGAAAUAAGACACAUUAUAAACACCUUAUCAAUGAAAAACUCGGAAAGUAAAAUACUCAAGCCUGAUUGCUUCAAAAUUGCCACAUCCAAUAUUCUUAAUAAGAACAAUACUACAUAAUUUUGUCUGAUGGAAUACUGUUUAAACGUACUUAUGAUUUUAGAUUGUGAUAAACUGGCUGCAAAAGCGAAACAAUAGGUCACAAUUUCUUUAUAAUUGCAUUACAAAAAGAGCUUACUGUGAUGAUUCAAAACAAUCAGAUAGGAACAUUCAAUGUAUUUGUCUUGGGCACUAAACUAAUUUUCAUUCUAGUGUUGCAAUCACUUAUUACUGGAGUUAAGACAAAAAAAAAGAUGAAAGAAUAAUGUAUCAGAUAUUUUCUACUGAUAUAAAUUGGAGUAUAUUUCUUGAUAAACACUGUGGUUAAUAUAAUGAGUUUUUCACUGAAAAGUCCAGUGUUAUAUAGAAUUUGUCUCAUUAUGACAAACCAGGUUGUUUAUCUCUAGAUUUCAAGGGUCACUCAUAGCCUUAGAUGUCUACAUAACUCUUAAAGGUACACUCCAGGCACCCAGACCACUUCUGCCCAUUGGAGUGGUCUGGGUGCCAACUCCCACUACCCUUAACCCUGCAAGUGUAAUUAUUGCAGUUUUCAUAAACUGCUAUAUUUACCUUGAAGGGUAAGUCCUCCACUAGUGGCUGUCUAUUAGACAGCCACUAGAGGACACUUCCGUGUUCAUAGCACACUGAAAGUGUGCUAUAACAACGCUGGACGUCCUCACGCUAUGUGAGGACCUCCAGCGUCGCUGAAAUCCCCUAUAGGAAAGCAUUGAAAGCAUUAGUCAAUGCUUUCCUAUGGGGAGGUCUAAUGCGCGUGCGCGGCAUUGCCGCGCAUGCACAUUAGGUCUUGUCCGCUGCCGGCCGCGCAUGCUCAAUAGGUCUCCCCUGCUGGAUGACGUCAGCGGGGGAAGGAGCGUGGGCGGACCCUGACCCAGCACCGAGAAACAUUGGCGCUGGAUACAGGUAAGUCACUGAAUGAGUUUUAACCCCUUCAGCAACAUAGGAUGGGGGGUGGGAGGGAGAGGGGACCUGCAGUGCCAGGAAAACGGUUUGUUUUCCUGGCACUGGAGAGUCCCUUUAAAGGGUUACUCCAACCUCUGUGCAAACUAUAUAUUUUUUAAUUGACAAUGCCCCAUGGGGACAUUAUUAUUAGCACCCCCUCUACUCCCCCACCCAUAAAAAAAGUUUUAAUAACCUGGAAUCUAGCACUGCACAAAGCUCCCAGCGCGGAUCUUCAAUGCCCAAUCCUGACAUCUUCCUGGCACUCAUGAGGUUCAACCACAGGCUUCUAAUAGAAAAGCCUAUGAUUGGACCAAAAGGAGGAAGAAAAAAACUAUUGAAGUAGCAGAGUUAGUGCCCACAUAGAGGGGAGAGCUGUUUUUUUUUACAUCAAUUGCCAGCAUGUGCGGGGGUUCUACUUGCCCCCAGCAAACAAUUCAAAUAAACUCUGGAUGUGCAGUGUUUUAAGCAGAAACCCAGAAACACUGCUUUUACCACAAUGACCACUUCAAAUUACCUCUGAUUGGUUAUUUCCACAGCACACACUGAAAGGUCUGGGGAAAAAAGAAGAGGCUUGCAAAAGUUAUAAGAACUGCAGCUUUUGAAAGCUUUUUUUAGGCAUACCCCCAAUACCAGUAUUUAUAAUGAAAUACAUGCAAGUUGUCAUGGUCAGUAAAUGUAAUAGUGAUUUAUAAAAAUAAAAAAAAAUUAUAAUAAUAAGAUUCCCAUGCGGAGUGUAUUUUUUUUUUAUAUUAAAAUAUCAGAAAAUAUAUCAAAUAUAAAAAAAAAGUCAAUAUAUCACAAAAUAUUGAAUUCUUACAAAAUGUUAAUAUUUUUCACAAUAUUAAAGUUUAUCUGAAUAUAUUUAGUCAUUUAAAAAACUUAUCUGACAAUAAUCUCAGGCACCCACACCAUAUCCUCUCCUCCAGGAGAAUCCAGAUCAUAGACUUAAGCCAAUGCAGGAUUAAAUUGAUCUCAUUGGCUAAGAGUGCUUCGCUGACUAUCUCAGUCAAUAUGCACAGUUCUGCAUUAUGCAGUUUGGCACUAUAGAGCAAUCUAGCUAUUCCUGCUGGAGAAGACCUUGUGUGGUAGAUGUGGCCACAAUCAACUGGUUGGACUCAGUAAGUUAUCAAGUUGGUCGUGGUCAUCUGGUAGGACUCAGGUAAGCUGUCUAAUCAUGCUUACUGUGGCUGUAGAGUUUCUGAUGCUUGGAGUGUUUACAUUAAAAUAAAAUAGUAAUCUAUUAAAGGGACAUUAUAGUCACCAGUGCAAAUAUAUGUAUUCCUGAGCCUAUAGUGUUAACACGACCAUCUAGCCCCCUGGGCCCCUCAUGCCUCCAUAAAUAUAGUAAAAAUCUUACUGUAUUCAAGCCAGAAGCUGUAGAUCUGCAUGCUGUUUGCCUAAAAAAAAAACAGUCUGCUGACAUCAUCAGAAGUUGUAGCUGAGAUUGGCUGAGACUGACAAAGAGGCAGAUCAGGGGCAGAGCCAGCAUGAUUCAAACACAGCCCUGGCCAAUCAGCAUCUCCUCAUAGAGAUGAAUUAAAUCACAAUGAAUCUCUAUGAGGAAAGUUCAGUGUCUGCAUGCAGUGGGAGGCNNNNNNNNNNNNNNNNNNNNNNNNNNNNNNNNNNNNNNNNNNNNNNNNNNNNNNNNNNNNNNNNNNNNNNNNNNNNNNNNNNNNNNNNNNNNNNNNNNNNCAGUCUCUAUUCUGCUCUGUGUCCGUGUGCAUCAGGGGCUCUGAGGACAGGUGUCAAUCCAUAUGUCAAGGUGUCAAUAUGUCAUAUGUCAGGUGUCAAUCCAUAUUGAUUGUGAUUUAGGAAUGUUAAGUGAUUUCUGCCCUUUAUGGAUUAAAACCAGACUCUGUAUCAACUGUGUAAUUUUCCAUGGGAGUUUUGCCAUGGAUCCCCCUCCGGCAUGCCACAGUCCAGGUGUUAGUCCCCUUGAAACAACUUUUCCAUCCCUAUUGUGGCCAGAAAGAGUCCCUGUGUGUUUUAAAAUUCGCCUCCCCAUUGAAGUCAAUGGCGUUUCGGGCGGUUCGCCGGUUCGCUAACACUUGCGGAAGUUCGCGUUCGCCGUUCGCGAACCGAAAAUUUCGGGUUCGCGACAUCACUAACUGUGAGUGACUGCAACUGGAGGUGUUCCUAGCUUUCAAUGUAAACACUGUAUUUUCUCAGAAAAUACAGUGUUUACAUGAGAAAGGCUGCAGGGAGCUAUAGUUUUCAUCUGAACAACCUCAUUAAGCUGAAGUUGUUCAGGUGACUAGAGUGUCCCUUUAAUGGCACCAGGCACUGCCAUAUCAGUUAUACAGUUUUUCACUUUGUUUGGCUGUGUUUUCUUUAGUACCAUCAGAUUAAAUAUUUCAUAAAAGAUCUGUGUGCCCUAUUCUCCUUUAAGAGAUACCAAAGCUUCUAUUAAAUGCUUUGUAACACAGACACAGACAGACACAGUGAAGUUCAGUGCUUUUGUUACUAAGCAUUUUUAUAACUAGUUAUUUAUCUUGCAUGUUUCCUGAAAAAAAAUACAUUUUCGUUUUUUCACAAGUCCUUGAAGUUUACUUUAACUGCCAUUCUAGCUAUAUUUCCUUGGUGUACAGUAAACAAAAGCUUUUGUUCCAAGUAAUUUGUUAGGACACACUUUUUGGGAGGGAAUAUGAAUCACCAGCAAACAAUUAAACUCAAGAAAUCAGAUUUGUGCAUUAACUGGAGCAAGUAACAAUGCUCUUUUAAUGCACCUUACUAACAUCAGACUUUAACAUUAUAUUGUUAGCUCAGCCAGAAUUAUUAACUGGUAAAAAUCGUAUUCUGUUUAAUGAUCUCAGGAGGGCUUCAGCCAAUUUGUUGAAGAAGAGGUGUUCAUCAAUUGGGAAAUAGAAAAGAAAGGUUAUGUAAUGUCAGGAGAGCCAUUUUGUGGAUUGUACAAGAUAAAUAAUGUACACACACUGACAAAACAAAGCUUUAUGAGAGAAUUGGCAUGGGCUCUGUAAAAUGUCUGUUUUCAAUGAAAAGCCACGACUGUGAAAUGGUUAGAUCAAUUCUGCCUAUUUUUAAACUGCUCUCAUGAUUUCCCAGAGAAAUACUCCAUGGAUAUGACCCAAGUGGAAAAAAUACAUUAAAAAGUGCUAGAAUGCAAAGGAAGAGUAGAUAGACAGACCGGGGAAUAAAUCAUUUGUAACUGGUUACAACAAUAAACAACAAUAAGCAAACUAAUGAACUGAGAAGAUAUCUAUUUCAGGGAUAUUUUUCCAAUUUGGCUAUUGUAUCUUAAAAGAUAAAAUUGACUUUGAAUUUAGUCCACGUUCUCCAAAGUUAAUAUAUUUGUGAAUAAACUUGAUUGGAUUCAAAAUCCCAUACAUGCUUUUUGAAAUGUCAUUGUUUGAUGGUGUAAACAAUGAAAGAAAGACAAAUCUGAUCAGAUAUUUCUCAUCUUUACUAAAACAUAAACUGUAAACAAUAAUAUUUAAAAUGUUCAACAAAUAGAUUAUUGCAAAAUGAGAGUUUUCUACGUCCAAAUAUAAUAUUGUUAAGUAACAAAUAGUGCCACCAUCAACAGUAUCAUCUCAGUUGAAAGUCUCAAAUUUUGUCUUCAGAGACCAGGUGUUCUACACACACUUAUUUUGUAAGAUCCAAGAAUGGAUGUCAAUAUCCUCCCAACUCAGUAUAAGCCUUGUAGUCUCUUUUGGAAUAGUGGUACCCAAGAAGUCUUGAGGUGGAGUCUUUAACAUGUCAUUGUGUCCUUCACUACAGUUGCAGACGUCUUCUAUCUUCACUAUGUAUCUCUCGGUGCUGACUCAAAUCUGGGUCAAAUCUCCCUAUACUUAAAGGUGUCAACAAAAACAUGGUUUAGCAUUCUUUUCUUGAUUUAGAAUGGUAUCUAGAGGACAUUGUAUGUUCUCCUUGAUUUUUCCAUGGGGAGAUCUUUGAUGCAUUUUGGUUGCCCUUCAGUCCAAGAUCCAAAUCAGAAUUCUAGAAGGAGAUGAGAAGUAUGAUGUCUCUACAGUCCUUUUGUUCUAAGGCAAAAAAAAAAAAAAAAAGUACGGUAGUUAAUUGUCUCGUUUACAUCCAGAAGACAACCAUUCUCAAUUUUGUGUAAAGGCAGAGUAGACCACAUUGCAUCCUUCUAAGUACUUUUUGUGACUGUAUUGCCACCUUCUGGCUGGAGCUAGUAUUGAUCAUGAAUAUUCUGCAAUGCAAAUAUUACUGAAUAGUUCAUUAACACACAUUAAAGAUUAAGUCAUUGUAAAAUGUGGGCACCAUUUUAAUGCACUUAAGAAUAUUUCAAUUAUAAUAAUGAUUCUUUAGAUUUUAUUUUAAUGUAUAUUUGUAGAAUUAGAAGUUGGAUUUUUAAUUUAAAGGACAAAACUGACUUUCAGUAACCAUUGGCUUAUAGCUGGGUAGACAUUUCUAAAAUUAUAAAAUUUUAUUCCAGCUUAAUUAUAGGGCACAUCAAAUCAAUAUAGACAGGUAUAUUGCAGGCCAAAAUGAAUCACUAUAACAUUCUUUUUCUGUGCAUUUGUAAGAAAUGACAUUACAGUAUGUGCAUGUAUGUACAGUAUGUGCAUGUUUAAUUUGGUCAUGCUAAUGCUAGGUAUUAGCCUACAAUACUGCUGCAAUAUGACAGAGAGGCCAACAAACAUCUUAGGAUUUUCAAUGACUGCAUGUAGAAAAGAGAAGCUUCACAUGUAUGUGAUUAAUCUAUCCUGAAUUAUGUUAGCACUGGUCAGUUUGGUGUGUCUUCUUACAAUUUCACAAAGUGACCAAAUGAGAUGCACUUUUUAGCGAAGGAUACAGUGAAGGUCGAUCAGUUCUAAUACUGAAAGCAAAGAAUGUUAUAUACAAUCGCUUAUUGAUUACCCAAGCACAUGGCGCUUAUUGUGCUGGUAUGGCAAAAGGUCUAUUAACUUAUUAGUUCCAUUUCCUUUUCUGAGAAUUCACACAGCCGCACGUAGCUAACCCGAAUGAGUAUGUCUGCUUGUUUUUUAACAAUCUCACUAAGUUUGACCCAGUAAGACAUUGACCAAAAGCUUCAAGUAAUACAGUUAAACAGGAAAUUAUCAAUCAAUUAUCACACUUUAUAAAAUGAUAAGACCAUCCAAAUAGUGGUGUAAUGUAAUGUUUUAAGAAAUAAUUAUGAGAAAUGCUAGCAUCAACAUCACUAGAUUUUGCAAAAACCAGAGCUCCAACUUUUUCCACACCCCACAUCAGACUUUACAUUUUCAAACCGUGUAAUUUUAGGAUCUGGCUUAUGUAGCUGAGUUUGGUGGAGAAUGUUGUCAUCGGAAAAGACCAUGAUAUCAUUUAGAGAGUAGCUAUGUAAAAUCUAGAUAUUUCACAUCAGUGCCAGACAAUGUUCAGUGGUAAAACUCAAUUAGAACAUAAAUAUUUUUACUAAUUUUCCCGUUUCUGGAGGUGGUAUUCUGUUGACAACUUAAGUAAUCUGUGAUGCAAUGUCAUACCUACAUAUAACUCAAAUACACUAAUACUGACAGAAAAGAAAGCACAGUUAGAAUAUAUUCUCCCUUAAUACAAAGGGGUAAAUUCACCAAAGUUUUAAAAGUAAGAUUGUUGAAAGGCAAAAUAUGCAAAUCACUUUCAUUUGGGUUCCCUUGUACUAGCCAUAGAACAGGACGGUUGGUGAAGUUUAGAGAUGGUAGCAUGCUGCCCACCCCAACAUUUUGGACUCUACUCCUUAACCCAUGAGAUUCCAUGUCUUCAAACCAGAUGUAUCUUCAGUCAUCUAUAAAGAGGGCAAUGGAGACUGCAUAUAUAAACAUGGAUGAGGCUUGUUUUUUUUGUAACACACUUACCAUUAGCCAUUAUAAUGCCAAUAGAUAAUGUUUUUGUGGGGAAGCACCACCCCACCUGUGCCUUUGGAGCAGCCUCCACCAGAAUAUUAUUAUAACUAUAACCUGGACAAAGCAUGGCAAGCAUUGUGUAUGUCUGUUUAGGAAUUGUUAACCACAAAUGUGCCAAAAAAACAUUACAUUACACAAAUGGCAAUUUAGCACAGUCAUAUAUGUUAUGACUUUAAGAUGGAAGAGGUCCUUGAGAAAUCCAUUUUACUCUUAAUCAGCAUUUCAAAAUAUUUGGUGAAAUAAGCUAUAAUGUAGAAGGUACUCCUAUACCUGCUACAAAUCCACACUGUAAUACAUUAACAGUUCAUGUUUGAAGAGUAAUAACGCAAGCUGUGUAACUGCAAUAAAAAUAAAUAACCGGGUUUAACCCAAAUAUUCAAGCACCCUUAAAAUCAAUCUGAGGAAGGUUACUCGCUAUCCUUGAAAACUCAAAGUCUCUGAUAUUGUGUCCCUUCAUGUAAAUACAACUUGUUGUAUAGAAAUGCAAACUACUGACCUCCAUUUUGGAUAUCAGGACUCUGUCCCCAAUGGGAGGGUAAUUCACCAGUCUUUCAGACAUUAGGUAUCUUGUUUUUUUUGCAAGCAAUUCUUCAUACAUUAUAUUUGUUAGCAAUUAGUAGCACUCUUUUUGUUAGAACGUCAAAACAGGGUGAAUAAGGCUUAUAUUGAUGCUCACCAAUAAUUUCCUGAAUGUGACCCAUUAAUCUCUACUACUGACACACUUACUUGAGACAGGGGAAAAAAAAGAAAUGAAGCACAUGAGUUAGUCACAUAAACUGCAGCAGACCUGUGAUCUAUCGACAAUUGGGGAUUUUAGAAAACUGACAACUUAAUCUGUUUAAACUAGAGUCUUACAUCUCGUAAACAUCAACAUCUCAACAUGUUUUCAGGCUUUGCAGAGUGGACAUGAAGGUCUUCGUAGAUUAUUCAUUAAAUUCCAUUAUGUAACUUAUGAGACAAGAGAUAGUAAAAGAAUGCUGAUAAAAUAAGAGCAAUUUUAAGCUAGGAACAUUGAAGGAAGAGGAAUGACAAAAGAAGAACAUAAUAAAAUCCUAGAGAUUUUAAUAUUGCUAAUGGAUUUUUUGCCCUUUAUUGGUCCUAGUCUGGUAAUAUAAUGAAAUAAUAAUACAGAAACAAAGUGUCUCAUUACUUUCUGAUUUUUUUAAUUGAUUUUCUUCAUUUUAUUGGUACAAGUACAAAUAUUAAUGAACUGGUGGAGUUUUCAAAUGCUAGUCGUAUACAUGUAUUAAUUAAAACAAAUUGUGUGAUGAUAAUGUAGAUCGUGAUGAUUGAUCACUCAGUUGCAUAAAAUGUAAGAAGAAGGUUACCUGCAUUAUCUCAUUGAAGGUGAAUUUGUGAAAACAUUAUUUUUAAUUAUAUGCGUUUAUUGAAACCUAAACAAAUAUUUUGUGUUUAUUGCUUAAUCCCUUAAGCACUGUGUGACGUUUAAAGACGAUUAAUAUCCAAGAAUGGCAUGGAAAAUCAUGUCUUAAAAGUAAUAACUAGUGAUGUCCCGAACAGUUCGUCUAACGAUUCGCGAACGGUUCGCCACGGACUCAUCAUUGAGUAAACUUUGACCCUGUACCUCACAGUCAGCAGACACAUUCCAGCCAAUCAGCAGCAGACCCUCCCUCCCAGACCCUCCCACCUCCUGGACAGCUCACUAAGAAUGCAGCUUCAAAAUGGAUGCUGUCAAGGAGGUUGAAGAAUCUGGGAAGGGUGGGAGGGUCUGCUGCUGAUUGGCUGGAAUGUGUCUGCUGACUGUGAGGUACAGGGUCAAAGUUUACUCAAUGAUGAGUCCGUGGCGAACCGUUCGUGGCGAACCGUUCGCGAACCGUUCGGGACAUCACUAGUAAUAACAGAUAUAAAUCCCUGCUGGUACCUGGAAAACCUAGUACUCAACACCUGCUGCUGCCCUCUGUCAGCUGGCGCCUUUAUUUAUUUUCCCACACUGACCAAUGAACUGUGUGCAACACUGUAAGUGAGAGCUGCUAACAGCCCUUUCAAAUUAACAUUCCGAACAUCAAAACCCAUUUCAUGUUUUCAAUUCAAUUAAAUAGUUAUUGUGUCCUUAGUCCAUUGGUAUCUACUUACCUUUAAGUGUUAAAACAUUUUUGAAAUGGUUUUAGAUAUAAAGUGGAAUCACCCAGGCGCCAGUGCAGCUUCAUUACCACUGGCUGCUUUUAUACACACACACAAUGAUUUAAUUUUCAAUCAGAUGUAGCUGUCUUUAAAGGUUUUUAUCUCUUGCUCUGUAAAUUAAACUUUAAUUACACACAGGAGGCUCCUGUAGGGUCUAGCAAGCUAUUAACAGAGCAGGUGAUAAGAAAUUCUAAAUUAAACAGAAUCUGUAAUAAAGGAAGUUUAAACAUUAGAUGACUCUUUAAAGGAAGUUUUUAGGAAGGCUGUGUAAGUCACAUGCAGGGAGGUGUGACUAGGGCUGCAUAAACAAAGUGAUUUAACUCCUAAAUGGCAGAGAAUUGAGCAGUGAGACUGCAGGGGCAUGAUCUAUACACCAAAACUGCUUCAUUAAGCUAAAGUUGUUUUGGUCACUCUAGUGUUCCUUUAAAAGGCACCAAAAUGUUUCUUUGAAUCACCGCAGCUGAAUGGACUCCCAGAUUCCGAGAUUUCCUUAGAGAGAGAGACAUUGUAGUAUAAUACAUUUUUAAUCAGGCCUCCCUGCAAGCCACCAGUAAAAAUAGAUCAAUGCUGUGAUUGGCAGGAACAACAUGAAGAUCUGAAAUAUUAGCUCCCUCUCGUGUUGUGAUCACAAAUCACAGAGUCAUCACAGUGCAGUACUCCAUACUGUGAAAGCAGGGGAAAUCCCUCUGUUGAUGUCAUUAGUGACUAGUAGUGUUGGCUUAAGGUUAUGAUAAGUGUUAGGAUUAGAAUUAGCUUUAGGGAAAAUGUAGAGUUAAAUUGAUUUAGGUUUUAGGUUGGUGUUAGUGUUAGAGUCAGUAUUAGUGUUAGCUACUGUUAGUGUUAGCUUGGGUUAGAUUUUAUAAAGUUUAAUGAAACAUGUCGAAAUGCUCUUGUCAAAGCUUUGCAUCACUAUGUCCUCCUUCAAAAACUUUAAAAAUCCUAUUAAUCUAAUACAAUUAAAAUCUAAAAUCUAAAAUCCUAUUUCUUUCUUCCUUGCAAGCAAUAAAUUUAAAAAAGAAAAAGCAGUGGGCCCCUGUGGGUCAUUUAUGUAGUGUUGAAUGCAUGUACCAUGUACUACAGGGAUAGGCAACCUUCAGCACUCCGGAUGUUGUGGACUACAUCCCCCAUAUUGCUCUUACACCCAUAAUGCUGGCAAAGCAUCAUGGGAGGUGUAGUCUAAAACAUCUGCAGUGCCAAAGGCUGUCUUUGCCUGUACUACACUAUUCUUCAAAUAUUUCAAUGGAGUUGGACUUUAGUAAUUUUGCACAGGAGCUCAGGUCCAAUUUAUUUUCUCCGCUAAGUUUAUAUCCUGUUUUAACUGCAAAAUUAACACGAACUUUGUUUAGGUUAUGACUUUUUUUGCUGUAAUUUUUAUUGCCUUUGACUGCAUGUAUUGAAGCUUGUAUCAAGUACUGCAAACAUUCAAAAAAUCCACACGGGGUUUAACUUGACCAGUAUAGUGAAACAAGCCUUCAGGGAAAAUAAGGAAAGUGACAGCAGUUCUAUUGACUGGCUGACAAGAAAGAGAUAACACUUAUCAUGGAUUUUGAUUUAGUUUAACCUCUUCAUGACAAAUCCUGAACUGAAAUUGCAUGUAUUUGUAACUGAAGCCUUUUCGAUACGUUUGUUGUGUUUAUUCCACCAUAAUUUAAAACCUUCACUUUAAGUGUACCUAUAGCUAUUAUAAAUAAUUUUUAAAGUACUUUUUCUAAUACCCUGUAUGUAUAUAUAGCGGAAUAUAACAUUUCAACAAAAUAUAAAAAAAUUCAAAAAAAAAAAAAAAUGCAAAGAAAACAAAAUUGCACAGUGUUACCUAUAAUAUUUUUUAUACAAUUAGCACAACAACAACAAGAAGAAAUUACUUUAAUUGACACUUUAGUCACCAAAUCAACUACNNNNNNNNNNNNNNNNNNNNNNNNNNNNNNNNNNNNNNNNNNNNNNNNNNNNNNNNNNNNNNNNNNNNNNNNNNNNNNNNNNNNNNNNNNNNNNNNNNNNGUUAAAAUAUUUUACAUACAAAAUAUUGACUAUAAAAUAAGAGGUAAAAAAGAAAAUUAGAAACUGAAUAUUAUUCAUAAAGUAAUAGUAAUGGGUUCAAGGAACAUAUUAAAACAUGCACACAUGUAUAAUUAAUAAAAUCUGUAAUAAAUGCACAAUAUAAAAACACAAAUAGAAAAUGUAAAAAAAAAUAUUGAUCCCAUUUUAUUAAUACACAUACAUUUUCUUUAAUACAGGCAGGGUUAUUUUCCAAAGUAAAAAUUGUUGGGAGUUGAAAGAGAAUUCGAAGUGAAUUUCAAAUGGCUGCUCCAACCAAAAAAACUGAAAUAAAUAAAUAAAUUAGGAUAAACUUUUCUAUCCCAUGUCAAAGUCAAUUCCUCUGUCAGCCCAGUCCUCCUUAGGUCACAUAGCUCCAGGGUGGCAUGGAAGGGGAGGACCUGUGCCACCAUUGGUCUUUUGAUGCCAGCAUGCUGUCUAUACAGGGAGUGCAGAAUUAUUAGGCAAAUGAGUAUUUUGACCACAUCAUCCUCUUUAUGCAUGUUGUCUUACUCCAAGCUGUAUAGGCUCGAAAGCCUACUACCAAUUAAGCAUAUUAGGUGAUGUGCAUCUCUGUAAUGAGAAGGGGUGUGGUCUAAUGACAUCAACACCCUAUAUCAGGUGUGCAUAAUUAUUAGGCAACUUCCUUUCCUUUGGCAAAAUGGGUCAAAAGAAGGACUUGACAGGCUCAGAAAAGUCAAAAAUAGUGAGAUAUCUUGCAGAGGGAUGCAGCACUCUUAAAAUUGCAAAGCUUCUGAAGCGUGAUCAUCGAACAAUCAAGCGUUUCAUUCAAAAUAGUCAACAGGGUCGCAAGAAGCGUGUGGAAAAACCAAGGCGCAAAAUAACUGCCCAUGAACUGAGAAAAGUCAAGCGUGCAGCUGCCACGAUGCCACUUGCCACCAGUUUGGCCAUAUUUCAGAGCUGCAACAUCACUGAGUGCCCAAAAGCACAAGGUGUGCAAUACUCAGAGACAUGGCCAAGGUAAGAAAGGCUGAAAGACGACCACCACUGAACAAGACACACAAGCUGAAACGCCAAGACUGGGCCAAGAAAUAUCUCAAGACUGAUUUUUCUAAGGUUUUAUGGACUGAUGAAAUGAGAGUGAGUCUUGAUGGGCUAGAUGGAUGGGCCCGUGGCUGGAUUGGUAAAGGGCAGAGAGCUCCAGUCCGACUCAGACGCCAGCAAGGUGGAGGUGGAGUACUGGUUUGGGCUGGUAUCAUCAAAGAUGAGCUUGUGGGGCCUUUUCGGGUUGAGGAUGGAGUCAAGCUCAACUCCCAGUCCUACUGCCAG